CUAAUGGGAGCUUAGAGAAGUGGUUGUACUCCCACAACUACUACUUGGAUUUUGUCCAACGAUUGAAAAUUAUGAUAGAUGUGGCAUCAGGGUUAGAGUAUCUCCAUCAUUAUUAUUCAAAUCCUGUGGUUCACUGUGACUUGAAGCCUAGCAAUGUCUUGUUAGAUGAUGACAUGGUUGCACACAUAAGUGAUUUCGGCAUUGCAAAACUGUUGAUGGGAAGUGAGUUUAUGAAGCGAACCAAAACCUUGGGCACCGUAGGCUAUAUGGCACCAGGUAAAGUUUCCUACCAUUUCAACACAUUCUUAUGUCAUUUUUUCUCUCUCUCAACUAGUUGGUUUUCCAUUUGACCAAGAAGCAAUAUUUGGCAUAAAAGUUUUACAUAAUGAACAACUAAUAUUACAUGCAGGGAGUAGGUUAGAGGAUAAGUUAUUGUAAGUAUUCAAGGUUUUUUAAAUUGUUUUCAAUCUUUUGAAAAAUGGAGAGAUAGUCAUUGGCUCUUUACAAACAUCUUACAUGAUCUUUUUUGACCUCUUGAUACUUAAUUAAUAUUUUUUAACAAGAAGAUCGUUUUUUUAUUAAUUAUUUAUCUUUCUCCAUAUUACUAUUUCUUUGUUCAUUUUACUAAUCGAAACUAAUAAGUAUGCAGAGUAUGGCUCAGAGGGAAUAGUAUCCACAAAAGGUGAUAUAUAUAGUUAUGGGAUCCUGUUGAUGGAAACUUUUGUGAGGAAGAAGCCUACAGAUGAAAUGUUCGUGGAGGAACUAACCUUGAAGAGUUGGGUGGAGUCAUCAACCAACAACAUAAUGGAGGUUAUAGAUGCCAAUCUCCUGACAGAAGAGGAUGAAAGUUUUGCCUUAAAACGAGCUUGUUUUUCUUCUAUCAUGACAUUAGCUCUGGAUUGUACGGUUGAGCCUCCUGAGAAGAGGAUUAACACGAAAGAUGUGGUGGUUAGACUCAAAAAGCUUCUGAAUCAAAUUGAUGUUUUAAGAACUCCAUAAUUAAGAAGAAGGCAUGGAGAUCACAUCACUUUCUUCCACCCUGAGCUUGUUUAAGAGUUUACAAAUCAUGAACUAAGGGACCAUUGGGCAUGGUCUGCUAGGUAUUGAAAGUUCCUUAUUAUAUCACCUUUAUACAAAUCAUUUUGUAUGCUUUUAUUUAAUUUUUUUCCAUUGGGAUAAUAUUAAGUGAAGAUACUUAAUGAAUGACUUCCAGAAGAACAUUUCGUACUUCUCUUUUUAAGAUACGGUAGAUUCUACUACAAUAAAUUAUUUGGCUAUGAUUGAUCAUUUCAGCAAAUUGUCUUGUCAAAAUCGACCUCUAUUUGUAGAUAUAUUUUACUUAAUUUGUUAUAACUUGCAAUUACUUAAUUUCUAGAUUGGUCUCACUGGUGUAACGGCUGCUGCUUGCUGCUGUACUUCAGAAGUUGUUGCACUUCCAAAGUGAGGUAGUUUGUUAGAUUUUGCACCAGGCUUGACCCGAGGUUAGCUCUUUUGUCCUUUUGGAAAACUGCACCGCAGCUGUCCCUUCCUGACCGGCUCAACCCCCUUCUCCAAAAGAGGUUGAGGGUGUCUUGUCCCUUUCGGGAUCACCACACAGGGUUUACCCACCAAUUACUUUGUUCUUUCUUCAUUCUUCCUACAUUUCUCCAAUUCCGUUAUGACAUGCAGAUGCUUGUUGCAUUGUUUUGAGUGUGUCCAGCUGGAGACAGUUGCAGCAGCUCCGGUCAUAAUUCAUGCUUUCAGUGAUGUGUAGGAAAUAUCAAACUUCAUGUUUGGUCAUGCAGAAAAUGACAGCUGAAUUAUAAUUUUUAUGGGAGUUAGAAAAGUCUUGCUUCUUUGAUGAUUAUCCAAAGAUUCAAUCAUGAAAUGCAGAAAAUGUAAAUCUUCAUGUAUAUAGGUUUGGAACUUAUUUCUUUAGAAAAUAUAUGAAUCUUCAACAAUCCCUAAUUUCACACCCAUAUCAAUGAUGUGCAUGCCCCAUUCAUAUGUAUUACAACCAUCCGCAAUAUAUAUCACAUUCAAACAAAAAUAUUCUUAUAGAAUUGAUAUUGACUCUAAAUAUUUGAUCAAAUAUUCCACUACUUAGAUCAAAACUCAAUGGCAAAAACAAUGAAGGAUAGAAAUUAAAAAAUAAAAAAUAAAAUUAUUUUUAUAUAAAAUGAAAUAAAAAUACCUUUGAAGCUCUUCAUGUAAUGGGUUUGGAGUUAUUUAUUAGUUCUUCAUCGAUUGAUUUCUUCCAUGUUGUCUAGAAUAUGUACUAGAGAUAGCUCAAAACACCCAUAAUCAUAUACAAAGAAAGAGGAGCGAUAUAGCAUCUUUUAGCAAAUUUUUGCUUGCAAAAUGGGGAUUGGUAGUUGAAAAUUUUAUUAUUAUUGAUCUACCAUUUCCAAGCAAAAUCAUCAAAACCUUCGAAAUGUGAUUAUUUUUUCAUUAAAGGGUUGUCAAAUUUCUUGUUAAUAAAGUUUCACAAAAGAUAAGAAAAUAAAAUUAUAAGGUAUAAUAUAUGUACUUUUUAAUAAUAAUAAUAAUAAUAAUAAUAAUAAUAAUAAUAAUAAUAAUAAUAAUAAUAUUUGUAUUUUGUCUAUCGUUAUAUAUAUAUAUUAGAUGUUCUUUAAGUAUAGGAAUAUUCUUAUUGCUUUUAUAAUAAUAUAUAAGAACAUUAGAAAAAAAAUAGUUAAUGAUGUAUUUUUUGACAAAUGUAAUAAUCAUAAUUUCAUAUUUGAAACUACCAACAACAUAAUGAGAUUCAACAUCUAUAAAAUUUAUAGGAUUUAUGUUAGGAUUUAUAACAUAAUCUAAUUAUAUUUAUAUGUUAGCAUGAGCAAAUUACAAAUAAAUUAUUUAGUUGAGUAAAUUACAAUAGAUAUGAUAUUUUAUAUCAAAAGAUAAUUUUUACUAAUGAAUACAUUAACUAUAUAAUAUUGGAAAAGAACAUUGAAAUUUUUUAAUAGAAUGAGUGUAGGGUUAAAUUAAAUUCAAUACAUUGAACUAUCAUACCAAAUGCUUUUCACUUUGAUUGAUUUAGCAAUUAUUAUAAAGCUUAUAAUUUUUAGAAAAUAAGAAAAUAAAUUUUAAAAAUCAUUCACAAAAGGUAGAUAGCUCUAUUUGCAAGUGGGGUUUUGUCUACCGUGGCAUGUGGACUACGGCACCGUGAUAGCCCACUCUUCACUGCACCAGGCUUGACUCGAGGCUAGCUCUUUUGUCCCUUUUGGAAAGCUGCGCCGUAGCUGCCGCCCCUUCUUGGCCGGCUUAACCCACUUCUCCAGAAGCGGUUGAGGGUGUUCUUGUCACUUUAGGGACCACCACACAGGGGUUACCCAGCAAUUACUUUGUUCUUUCUUCAUUCUUCCUACAUUGCUCCAAUUGCAUUAUGACAUAUGCAAAUGCUGUAGAAUUGUUGAAUAUGGUUGUAAUUCAUAUUUAUUACAACCAUGGUUAUAUAUAUCACAUUCAAAACACCCUCAAUCAUAUACAAAGAAAGAGAAGCGAUAUGGCAUCUUUUAGCAAAUUUUUGCUUGCAAAAUGGGGAUUGGUAGUUGAAAAUUUUAUUAUUAUUGAUUUACCAUUUCCAAGUAAAAUCAUCAAAACCUUCUAAAUGUGAUUAUUAUUUCAUUAGAGGGUUGUCAAAUUUCUUGUUAAUAAAGUUUCACAAAAGAUACGAAAAUAAAAUUAUAAGGCAUAAUAUAUGUACUUUUUAAUAUUAUUAUUAUUAUUAUUAUUUGUAUUUUGUCUAUCAUUAUCUAUAUAUAUAUAUUGAUAAUUUAUUUAAAGUUAUAAAUUUGUUAAUAUUAUUACAUAGUUAUGGAUUUCUUUAAUAUAAUAUGCUAGAUGUUCUUUUGAGUAAAGGAAUAUUGUUACUGCUUUUAUAAUCAUAAUUUCAUAUUUGAAACUACCAACAACAUAAUGAGAUUUGACAUCUAUAAAAUUUAUAGGAUUUAUAACAUAAUCUAAUUAGAUUUAUAUGUUUAAUUUACAUGAGCAAAUUACAAAUAAAUUAUUUAGUUGAGUAAAUUACAAUAGAUAUGAUAUUUUAUAUCAAAAGAUAAUUUUUACCGAUGAAUACUUUAACUAUAUAAUAUUGGAAAAGAACAUUGAAAAUUAUUAAUAGACUGAGUGUAGGGUUAAUUUUGUAAAAUAAAUUAUUUUUAGUCUUUAAUGACUUUCAUUAUCAAAGAGUUAAAUUAAAUUCAAUACAUUGAACUAUCAUACCAAAUGCUUUUCACUUUGAUUGGUUUAGCAAUUAUUAUAAAGCUUAUAAUUUUUAGAAAAUAAGAAAAUAAAUUUUAAAAAUCAUUCACAAAAGGUAGACAGCUCUAUUUGCAAGUGGAGUUUUGUCUAGGGUAGCUCUUUUGUCCCUUUUGGAAAACUGCACCGUAGCUGUUGCCCCUUCUUGUGUUAAGGGUGUUCUUGUCACUUUAGGGACCACCACACAGGGGUUACCCAACAAUUACUUUAAUAUGUCUAACGAGAGACAGUUGCUGCAGCUCUAGUCAUAGUCCAUGCAUUCCAUGAGGUGUAGGAAAUACCAAACUUUGUGUUUGGUCAUGUAGAAAAUGACUGGAUUUAUAAUUUUUAUGGGAGUUGGAAAAGUCUUGUUUCUUUGAUGAUUAUCCAAUGAUUCAAUCAGGACAAGCAGAAAAUGUAAAUCUUCAUGUAUAUAGGUUUGGAAGUUAUUUCUUCAGAAAAUAUAAAUAUUCAUGUAUAUAUGAAUCUCCAACAAGCUCUAAUUUCACCCCUAUAAAUUCGAUAUUUCACUCCCAUAAUUUGUGUCAUGCUCCCAUAUUAUAUUACUCUUCUCCAAUAAUCACUUAUUCUGCUUUAUUAAUUCCACUCCAAUAUCUCUUAAUUUCACUUUCAAGGACAAAGUUAUAAAUCUUCUAUUCUAUUAAUUUAUAUCAUGAUCUAAUUGCUUCGUGUCCUUAGUCACAUUGCUUUGUACCCUUGAUCACAUUGCUUUGUAGUGAGGUUUCAUUUCUUCAUGUUUUUGUCCCAGAUGGUUGAUCAUACCGUAGUUCCUUUUGCUUUGCAUCCCCAUUGUUGGUACAAAUCAAAUAAAUAAGCUAUACUCAACUGUCAAUGGUGUGCACCCAAUUCAUUUGUAUUACAACCAUAUGCUAUAUAUCACAUUCAAAUGGAAGUAUUCUUAUAGAAUUGAUAUUGGUGUUAAACACUUGACCAAAUGUUUCAUUAUUUAGACCAAAGCUCAAUAGCAAAAACAAUGAAGGAUAAAUUAUUAGAUAAGGUAGACUUUAGGAUUUUAAUUGAGCUAAAAUAUUUUUAUUAGAUUAUUAAAAACCGGAUACAUGCUCAAACCUAGAUGUUAAAAUAAUUUAUUAAAUUAUUAAACAGAUUAAAUAGAUUGAAUUAUCCAAAAAAGAAAGAGUAGCAUCGGAAAGUGUGACUACCAAGUCAAUAACCAAUGGUUAUCAUUCUGGAUGGGACUGCAUUGAAGCCCUUUUUCACCUCCUAGGACAUCUUUUUCCAGAAAAAGUUGUUGCUCACGAAUUACUUGAUAGACGUUAAGAUCAGUCACAGCUUCUCACUGGUCUCACUGGUGUAACGGCUGCUGCUUGCUGCUGUACUUCAGAAGUUGUUGCACUUCUUUGUUAGACUUUGUUAGAUUAGUUAGGCUGUUACACAAUGGAAAAUUCUGCGGUACGGAAGUGGGUACGGUACCUGCAAAAUUCCCUUUGCACCACUUGAUUAGCUGAACUGCCCCAUCGUAUUGCCUCUUCUUGAAUACGCUUUGCUUGAUCAACUUUUCAGGUUUCUUUCUCCGUUUUGGUAGGACUGCACUGUCGUUGCCCCUGCUUGCCCUCCGUGACCCACUUUUUUCCAAGGAGGUGGUUUUCGACCAUUUUCUUUCUUCUUGAAUACACCAUUAGAUCUUUUGUCUUGACCCGAGGUUAGCUCUUUUGUCUUUUUGGAAAAAACUGCACCGCAGCUGUCCCUUCUUGACCGGCUCAACCCACUUGUCCAAAAGAUGUUGAGGGUGUCUUGUCCCUUCAGGGAUCACCACACAGGUUUUACCCGGCAAUUACUCUGUUCUUUCUUCAUUCUUCCUAUAUUUCUCAAAUAGCAUUAUGACAUGCAAAUGCUUGUUGAAUUGUUUUGAGUAUGUCCAACUAGAGACAGCUGCAGCAGCUCUGGUUAUAAUCCAUGCUUGCCUUGGAAGGUGAUUGAGUUGCAAUUUCAAGGUAGUAGGUAUUGACCACCAAAAACGGUUUGAAAUUUUGUUAUCAAAGGCUUGCCUUGGAAGGUGAUUGAGUUGCAAUUUCAAAGCCAACCUGAAAACCCCAUAAUUUCAAGGUAGUAGGUAUUGAUCACUUCUUGUCACUCACUUGGCAAAUAUUAAUUUCCAUGUAAACUCUCCAGUUCCUACCAUGCUUGGUAGAACAAAUCAAAAUAUUUCUGUCCAUAAUUUCAAGGUAGCAGGUAUUGACCACAAAAAACGGUUUGAAAUUUUGUUAUCACAAGGUUUUCCUUGGAAGGUGAUUGAGUUGCAAUUUCAAAGCUAACCUGAAAACCCCAUAAUUUCAAGAUAGUAGGUAUUGACCACUUCUUGUCAUUCACUUAGAAAAUAUUAAUUUCCAUGUAAACUCUCCAGUUCCUACCAGGCCUGGUAGAACAAAUCAAAAUAUUUCUGUCAUAAGUAUUUCAUUUUACGAAUAAAAAUGAUUAACAUGUUUUGAAAAAUCUUCAAGUCUUUCGCCAACGCUCUCUUUUAGAAUUAAUGUUAUGCUUUAAAUUUGGUUACAUUUCUUUAAACAGUACGGAUUUUCUCUCUUACAUUAAUUAGAAAAAGUAUGAUUUUUCUUUGUAAAUUAGCAUUACAGUGUAGUGCCACUUUAACGUGAUAUAGAUACGAAAAAUGAUAAAUCAUUUAUUUGAAUUUUCUUUAACGUGAUAUAGAUACACAAUAGACUGUCGUUGCCCCUGCUUGCCCUCCGUGACCCACUUUUUUCCAAGGAGGUGGUUUUCGACCAUUUUCUUUCUUCUUGAAUACACCAUUAGAUCGUGAUAUGUGGACAGCUCUAUAUGCAAAUUGAGUUUUGUCUCCUGUGGAAUGUGGAAUGUGGACUACAGCACCGUGAUAACCCACUCUUCACUGCACCAGGCUUGACCCGAGGUUAGCUCUUUUGUCUUUUUGGAAAAAACUGCACCGCAGCUGUCCCUUCUUGACCGGCUCAACCCACUUGUCCAAAAGAUGUUGAGGGUGUCUUGUCCCUUCAGGGAUCACCACACAGGUUUUACCCGGCAAUUACUUUGUUCUUUCUUCAUUCUUCCUAUAUUUCUCAAAUAGCAUUAUGACAUGCAAAUGCUUGUUGAAUUGUUUUGAGUAUGUCCAACUAGAGACAGUUGCGGCAGCUCUGGUUAUAAUCCAUGCUUUCAAUGAUGUGUAAGAAAUAUCUAACUUUAUGUUUGGUCAUGCAGAAAAUGACACUUGAAUUAUAAUUUUUAUGGGAGUUUGAAAAGUCUUGCUUCUUUGAUGGUUAUCCGAAGAUUCAAUCAUGAAAUGCAGAAAAUGUAAAUCUUUAUGUAUAUAUGAAUCUCCAACAAUCCCUAAUUUGGCACCCAUGUCAAUGGUGUGUGUACCCCAUUCAUAUGUAUUACGACCAUCUGCUAUAUAUAUAUCACAUUCAAAUGGCAAAAACAAUGAAGGAUAGAAAUUAAAAAAUAAAAUAAAAUUAUUUUAUAUAAAAUGAAAUAAAAUACCUUUGAAGCUCUUCAUGUAUAUAGGUUUGGAGUUAUUUAUUGCUUCUUCAUGGACUGGAUUUCUUCUAUAUUGUCUAGAAUAUAUACUAGAGACAACUCAAAACACCCACAAUCAUAUACAAAGAAAGAGUAGAGAUAUGGCAUCUUUUAGCAAAUUUUUGCUUACAAAAUUUUGAAAAAAAAAAAAAACAAACAUGCUUAUUUUUUGUUUUAUUUUUAAGAUUCAACAGACUUGAUUUUCAAAGCAUAUAAUAAAUUUGUUUUUGAGAAAAUAAAUGUCCUUACCCUAUUAAUUAUUUCAAAAGACAUUUUCUAAAAGUAUAAUGUUUUCGAAAAUUUUCAAGUUUUUCAUGAAUUUUUUUUUUCAUGAGUAAUGUUACAUUUUGGAUUUGGCUAGUUAAAUACAUACUAUCACUAUUUCUCUCUUUCUAAAUUAAUUGAAAAAAGUGGACUAGAAAAAGCACCAUUUUCCUUUCUAAUUAGCAUGCACGACCAAUAGUAUAGUCACUCCAUUCAUCUAUCUACCUACCUAUCUUUAUAUAAUGUCAUGUUAUACAAUGAACUUGUAAAAUGAGUGGAGAAGAUCUCCAGAAUGUAAUUAAGAUGGCAAAUUCCAAGCAUAAGAUUAAUGGAUUUAUUUUGAAUGCAAUCAUGGUUGAGUUGUAAUUAUAUCAAAAUUGUUAAAUAAAUUUAUUAAAUUAACUAUUAAAUAGGUUACAAUCUUCUAAAAAAGGAUAGAGUAGCAUAGGAAGUGAGACUACCAAGUCAAUAACCAAUGCUUUUGGACCCACUUAUAUAGUUCCAUGGUUGUCACUUUGGAUGGGACUGCAUUGAAGCCUUUGUUCACCUCUUUCACAGUUUCUUCCAAGAAGGUUGUUGCCCACCAAUUACUCUCCCUUCCUUAUCCCCUACAUUUGUAAACCACAUCCUCUCCUUCAACCUUUAUCAACAACCUUUUUUUCUUGCUCUCUCAAAGGAAAGAUGCAUCUCUUUUCACCUUAUGUUUUAGUGUUUGUUUUAGUGCAUUGUUGGGUGGCUUACUUCACUCCCAAAGUAUUCUCCAUCAAUUUAGUUGAUGAAUUUGCUCUUAUGGCCUUGAAAGCCCAUAUCACAUAUGAUUCCCAAGGCAUUUUGGUAACAAAUUGGUCAACCAAAAGCUCCUACUGCACUUGGUAUGGUAUUUCUUGCAAUGCUCCUCAGCAAAGAGUUUCUGCAAUCAACCUCUCUAACAUGGGUCUUGAAGGAACUAUUGCGCCACAAGUCGGCAACCUCUCAUUUCUUAUUUCUCUUGAUCUUAGCAAUAACUACUUCCAUGCCUUUCUUCCUAAGGAAAUUGGUAAGAUUCUUAUAAUUUUUGUCUACUUUAUAGGUUAUCAUAAUUUUUGGCUUUCAAUCGUAAUGAAAUAGUUGAGUAAUUGAUAAAUUAUAGUUCCAAAAAUAAUAUUGAUAUAUUUGGUAGAUUGGAUUGUUGAAUUAUUAUGACCAUGAAUAAUAACUAAAAUAGGAAUGAUACAACUUUAACUUAUUCUCUUUAUUUUGAUAUAAAAUUCAUUUUAAUUAAAUAAAUCAUUUUACAAUUUAAAAAUUAGUUUUAUUUUUUUAAUUCCCUAUUUUUUUUUUCUUUUUUUGAAUGAAUUCAAGUAAACACAAUUAUAGUAAUGGUAAUGAUUUUUUAUUCUAAUUUUUAGAAUGAACAAUACCAAAUACAAAUCAGAAUAAACAUACACAACGGUAAUAAAAAGUUUCAAUUGACAGAGUAUUUUUCUUUUUAAGUUAUAACAUUAAAUAAUUUAUUUAUAGUGAUAUCUUACAAUUGAUAGAUAAUUUCAAAUAUAGAAAAUUUUGAUCCAACAAAUUAUAUUAUAAAAAAGUCAACAUAAUUUAAUGUAAUAUAUUAUACAUUAAAAUGUAAUAAAAUAUUUAAUAGAUAUCAAAUAAUUUCAUCUAUACACACACAUACACACACACACACAUAUAUAUAUAUAUAUAUAUAUAUAAUAUUUAUUUGUGAUAAACAAUAGUGGAUAAUUUUUUUGUUAACAUUCCCAAUAAAAAAAAAAUAUCAAUUAUUUAUUAUAUUCUAUCUAAUACUCAACAUUUGUGUUAAGUGUAUAGUUAAUUUCACAAAUUAUUAUUAUAAAUUAAGAAACAUCAUUGUACACACAAUUCAAACCAUCGUAUAGGUUCCAAAUUGUAUUCCAUCAAACCAAAAUGCACUACCCUUAAAUGCUUGGAACUAUCAAUAUGUGGUUCAUGAUAAGUUUUCCUCAAUAUUAGUGUCACUUGCAAAUGUUAUCAUCAUGUUUGAUUCCGUGAAAGUACUAAGAAAAAAAUAUUGAAAGAAAUUAUUUUCUUAUAUUUGAUUUUACUAUAAAAAUAUGAAAAAAAUCAAAUAUAAUUAAAAUUAAUCUAUUUUUAAAUAGAAAAUUUAAAACAAGUGAAAGGAGCCUGAUUAUGUUUGGUUCCCAAAAAGUUUUAGUGACAAUACAAGGGAAAAAAAAUAAAGAGUUUCUUUGAAGAAAAGAAAAAGUGAAAACAAUAAAAUAAAUAAAUAAAUUUGAAGUUAAUAAAUUAUUUUUAUAUGAUCAUUCACAUUCAUUUAAAAUUAAAAAAAAAGAUUUAAAUUUAAUAAAUUAAUUUUAUAUGUUUCUUCAUAUUUAUUUACUUAUUUUAAUUCUUCCAUACGAAGAUAUACUAAUUUGAAAAUAAAUAAAAUUCUAAUUAAUUUUAAUUCUCUUUUAUUUUCUUUCGUAUUUUCUACAUAAAACCAACAAUAAGAAAAUUAUUUUCCUUUAAUAUUUUCUUUUCUUUCUUUAAUACUCUUCUCAACCUAACAUAGUUUUUAUGUUCAUAAUAAUAAUAAUAUUUUAGAUAUUUUUUCAUUUUAUUUUAGGUAAGUGCAAGGAGCUUCAACAGUUGAAUUUAUUCAACAAUAAUCUGGUUGGAAGCAUUCCAGAAGCCAUUUGUAAUUUAUCAAAACUUGAAGAGCUGUAUCUUGGCAACAAUAAGUUGGCUGGUGAAAUUCCAAAGAAGAUGAGUGAUCUUCUUAAUCUGAAGAUAUUGUCAUUCCCAAUGAACAACUUAACAGGUUCCAUACCAGCCACUAUUUUCAACAUAUCUUCUUUGCUCAAUAUUAGUCUCUCCUAUAAUAGUCUCUCUGGGAAUCUUCCCAUGGUUAUGUGCAAUACCAAUCCAAAGCUCAAGGAGCUUAAUCUUUCAUCAAAUCACCUGAGUGGAGAGAUCCCCACCAGUUUAAGCCAAUGUAUAAAGCUUCAAGUAAUUUCCUUAUCAUAUAAUGAAUUCACGGGAAGCAUACCAAAAGGAAUUGGUAACUUGGUGGAGCUUCAGAGAUUGUCUUUCAGGAAUAAUAACUUGAUAGGUACACUUUUUUUUCCUUUCUUUUCUUCCUUUUUAUUCGCUCACUUUCUCUCAAGCUUUCAAAGAUGUAAGCAAUGCAUUGAAGUUUUUCCAACCCACUCAUUUUAAUUUUCUUGCAGGAGAAAUACCUCAAUCACUGUUCAACAUAUCUUCAUUGAGGUUUUUGAAUCUGGCAGCCAAUCAACUCGAAGGUGAAAUCCCCUCCAACUUGUCGCAUUGUCGAGAGCUCCGAGUACUAUCAUUAUCAUUAAAUCAGUUUACUGGAGGCAUUCCACAAGCCAUAGGGAGUUUAUCGAAUCUUGAAGAAUUAUAUCUUGGUUAUAACAAUUUGGGAGGUGGAAUUCCUAGCGAGAUUGGGAAUCUUCAUAAUUUAAAUAUUUUGAACUUCGAGUCUGCUAGACUAAGUGGUCCUAUUCCUGCCCAAAUUUUCAACAUCUCUUCGUUGCAAGUUAUUGCUUUUAGUAAUAAUAGCCUUUCUGGGAGUCUUCCAAUAGAUAUCUGCAAACAUCUUCCUAAUCUCCAAAGGCUCCACCUUUCUUGGAAUCAGCUCAGUGGCCAACUUCCUACAACCCUGUCCUUAUGUGGAGAGCUUCUGUCACUGUCACUAUAUUACAACAAAUACGCAGGAAGCAUAAUAAGAGAAAUUGGCAACUUAUCCAAGCUUGAACAGAUUUAUCUUGGGAGGAAUAACUUCACAAGUACCAUUCCACCUUCAUUUGGUAAUUUAACUGCCAUACAGGAGCUUGGAUUGGAGGAAAACAAUUUUCAAGGUAAUAUCCCCAAGGAGUUGGGGAAACUCAUCAACUUACAAAUAUUGCAUCUUGGCCAAAACAAUCUAACGGGGAUUGUACCAGAAGCUAUUAUCAACAUCUCUAAGCUGCAGGUCCUUUCGCUAUCACUAAAUCACCUCUCAGGCAGUCUCCCAUCAAGUAUUGGCACUUGGCUUCCAAAUCUUGAAGGACUUUAUAUAGGAGCCAAUGAAUUCAGUGGAAAAAUUCCGAUGUCCAUUUCCAAUAUGUCGAAACUUCUCUUCAUGGACAUAAGCAACAACUACUUCAUUGGGAAUUUGCCAAAAGACCUAGGUAACAUGAGACGACUCCAGAUCCUCAACCUUUCAUACAACCAGUUGACUAAUGAACAAUCAGACUCUGAGCUUGCCUUUUUUACAUCAUUGACGAAUUGCAUUUCUUUGAGAAAAUUGCGGAUCGGUGGUAAUCCUUUAAAAGGCAUUAUUCCAAAUUCAUUGGGGAAUCUCUCCAUUUCUAUUGAAAGGAUUGGAGCGAGAAGCUGCCAACUCAGAGGCACCAUCCCUACAGGGGUUAGUAAUCUAACCAACUUGAUUGGUUUAGGACUUGAUGAUAAUGACUUGACAGGGUUGAUUCCAACAUCAUUUGGACGCCUACAGAAGCUCCAGGCGUUGGGUAUUUCUCAAAAUCGAAUACGCGGAUCCAUUCCUAGUGAUCUAUGCCAUUUGACAAACUUGGGAUUCUUGGAUUUGAGUUCGAAUAAACUUUCCGGAACAAUCCCUAGCUGCUUUGGGAAUCUUACUUCACUACGAAGAAUCAAUCUUCACUCCAAUGGACUAGCUUCUGAGAUACCUUCAUCUCUGUGGAUCCUUAGAUAUCUCUUGUUUCUUAACUUGUCUUCAAACUUCCUCAACGGCGAACUACCCUUAGAAGUUGGAAACAUGAAGUCCUUAGAGGAAUUGGACCUAUCAAAGAACCAAUUUUCAGGAAACAUCCCCAGCACUAUAUCACUUCUUCAAAACCUGCUCCAACUUUACCUAUCCCAUAACAAGCUACAAGGUCAUAUUCCCCCCAAUUUUGAUGAUUUGGUGAGCUUGGAAUACUUGGAUCUGUCAGGGAACAAUUUAUCUGGUUUUAUUCCCAAGUCAUUAGAGGCUCUGAAAUAUCUCAAAUACCUGAAUGUUUCUUUCAAUAAACUACAAGGAGAGAUUCCAAACGGAGGACCCUUUGCAAACUUCACUGCUGAAUCUUUCAUCUCCAACCUAGCACUUUGUGGAGCACCUCGGUUUCAAGUCAUGGCAUGUGAGAAAGAUACUAGAAGGAACACAAAAUCACUCCUCUUGAAAUGUAUUGUGCCACUAAGUGUAUCAUUAUCAACAAUAAUACUAGUGGUUCUCUUUGUUUUAUGGAAGCGAAGACAGACUAAGUCAGAAACUCCGGUUCAAGUUGACUUGUUGCUUCCCAGAAUGCAUAGAAUGAUUCUACACCAAGAACUCCUUUAUGCAACCAGCUACUUCGGAGAAGACAAUUUGAUUGGGAAAGGAAGCUUAGGCACGGUAUAUAAAGGGGUAUUAUCCGAUGGGUUGAUUGUUGCUGUGAAGGUUUUCAAUUUGGAAUUGCAGGGAGCUUUCAAGAGUUUUGAGGUAGAAUGUGAAGUAAUGCAGAAUAUUCGCCAUCGAAAUCUUGCCAAGAUAAUUAGUAGUUGCUCCAAUUUGGACUUCAAAGCCUUGGUGCUUGAGUAUAUGCCUAAUGGGAGCUUAGAGAAGUGGUUGUACUCUCACAACUACUACUUGGAUUUUGUCCAACGAUUAAAAAUUAUGAUAGAUGUGGCAUCAGGGUUAGAGUAUCUCCAUCAUGAUUAUUCAAGUCCUGUGGUUCACUGUGACUUGAAGCCCAACAAUGUCUUAUUAGAUGAUGACAUGGUUGCACACAUAAGUGAUUUCGGCAUUGCAAAACUGUUGAUGGGAAGCGAGUUUAUGAAGCGAACCAAAACCUUGGGCACCAUAGGCUAUAUGGCACCAGGUAAAGUUUCCUACCACUUCAACACAUUCUUAUGUCAUUUUUUUCUCUCUCUCAACUAGUUGGUUUUCCAUUUGACCAAGAAGCACUAUUUGGCAUCAAAGUUUUACAUAAUGAACAACUAAUAUUACAUGCAGGGUGUAAGUUAGAGGAUAAGUUAUUGUAAGUAUUCUAGGUUUUUUAAAUUGUUUUCAAUCCUUUGAAAAAUGGAGAGGUGUCAUUGGCUCUUUACAAACGUCUUACAUGAUCAUUUUUGACCUCUUGAUAAUUAAUAUUUUUUAACUAGAAGAUUGUUUUUUAUUAAUUAUUUAUCUUUCUCUAUAUUACUAUUUCUUUGUUCAUUUUACUAAUGGAAACUAAUAUGCAAGCAUGCAGAGUAUGGCUCAGAGGGAAUAGUAUCUACAAAAUGUGAUAUAUAUAGUUUUGGGAUCAUGCUCAUGGAAACUUUUGUGAGGAAGAAGCCUACAGAUGAAAUGUUUAUGGAGGAACUAACCUUGAAGAGUUGGGUGGAGUCAUCAACCAACAACAUAAUGGAGGUUAUAGAUGCCAAUCUCCUGACAGAAGAAGAUGAAAGUUUUGCCUUAAAACAAGCUUGUUUUUCUUCCAUCAUGACAUUAGCUCUGAAUUGUACAGCUGAGCCUCCUGAGAAAAGGAUUAACAUGAAAGAUGUGGUGGUUAGACUCAAGAAGCUCCUGAAUCAAAUUGUUGAUUUAAGGGCUCCAUAAUUAAGAAGAAGGCAUGGAGAUCAUGUCCCUUUCUUCCACCCUGAGCUUAUUUAAGAGUUCACAAAUCAAGAAUUGAGGGACCAUUGGGCAUGGCUUGCCAAGUAGUUGAAAGUUCCUUAUUAUGUCAACUCUAUGCAAAUUAUGCUCAAAUGUUUGUGUAGUUCCAUCCAUUUCCCCCAAUGUAAUUCAGCUUGAAUAAUGCCAUGAGUCUGAAUGCUUUUAUUUCGUAUUUUCCCAUUACCAUAAUAUUAAGUGAAGGUGCCCGGUGAAUAACUUUUGGAAGAACAUUUCAUGCUUUUCUUUUUAAGAUAUGAUAGACUUUAAUAAAUUAUUUGUCUAUGAUUGAUCACUUUAGCAAAUUGCCCGGUCAAAAUUGACCUCUACUUGUAGACAUAUCUUACUUAAUUUCUUAUAACUUGCAAUUACUUUCAGAUUGUGUAUAAUUGGAUUUGACUUAUUUCAAAAUCAUGGCUCGUGAGAAUUAAGAAGUUUGAGAAUUCAUAUUUAAAGUAAUUUGAACGAUAUUUAUCAUGUAAUUUGAGCAAUUUUGGAAAGGUCAACAAUUUUAAUUUUGUGUUUUUAUUUGUGAGAAUUAAGAUCUCAAAUUGGAUAAAGAAUUUAGUAAAAUGUUAAAAAGAAAAAAAUUUAGAAUAGGAAAUAAUUUUUUUUUAAAAUAAUCACCAUGGUAAUGUGGGUGUCACAUAGCACAAUUAACCAUGGUUUUGUUUCUAUAAACAAAAAUUUGUCAUUUCAUCAAAAUAUAUAGUAAUCAACCAAAUUCAUACUUGAAUGAAAAAGCAUGACCUCUAUAUCUAUAUUUAAAGUGAUAUGGAAUGAUAAAUAUUUUGUUCAUGUAUAUAAAAGAAUAUUAAGGUUGGGAAUUCCAAGCACAAGGUUAAGGAAUUAAUUAGUUUGAGUCCAAUUAGAUGUAAAACAAUUUAUUAAAUUGUACGUUAAACAGAUUACAACUUUGAUAAGUGAACUGCACCAUGGUUAGCACUCCGGAUGGGACUACAUUGAAGCCCUUUUUCACCUCCUAGGAUAUCUUUUUCCAAAAAAGGUUGUUGCUCACGAUUUACUUGAUAGACGUUAAGAUCACUCACAGCUCUCACUGGUCUCACUGGUGUAACGGCUGCUGUUUGCUGCUAUACUUCAGAAGUUGUUGCACUUCUAAAGUUAGGUGGUUUGUUACACUUUGUUAGAUUAGUUACACAAUGGAAAAUUCUACGGCACCGAAGUGGGUACCGCAUCUGCAAAAUUCUUGUCCGUUGGAUCAAAAGCUUCCAAUCAAGACUGAAUGCCUUUGCACCACUUAGCUGGACUGCGCCAUCGUAUUGCCUCUUCUUGAAUACGCUUUGCUUGAUCAACUUUUCAGGUUUCUUUCUCGGUUUUGGUAGGACUGCACUGUCGUUGCCCCUACUUGCCCUACAUGACACACUUUUUUCCAAGGAGGUGGUUUCCCGCCAAUUUCUUUCUUCUUAAAUACACCAUUAGAUCGUGAUAUGCGGACAGCUCUAUAUGCAAAUUGAGUUUUGUCUCCUGUGGAAUGUGGAAUGUGGACUACAGCACCGUGAUAACCCACUCUUCACUGCACCAGGCUUGACCCGAGGUUAGCUCUUUUGUCCUUUUGGAAAACUGCACCGCAGCUGUCCCUUCUUGACCGGCUCAACCCACUUCUCCAAGAGAGGUUGAGGGUGUCUUGUCCCUUUGGGGAUCACCACACAGAGUUUACCCACCAAUUAUUUUCUUCAUUCUUCGUACAUUUCUCCAAUUGCAUUAUGAAAUGCAAAUGCUUGUUGCAUUGUUUUGAGUGUGUCCAGCUACAGACAGUUGCAGCAGCUCUGGUCAUAAUCCAUGCUUUCAGUGAUGUGUAGGAAAUAUCAGACUUUAUGUUCGAAGUGUCAUGCAGAAAAUGACACUUGAAUUAUAAUUUUUAUGGGAGUUAGAAAAGUCUUGCUUCUUUGAUGAUUAUCCAAAGAUUCAAUCAUGAAAUGCAGAAAAUGUAAACUUUAUGUAUAUAGGUUUGGAACUUAUUUCUUUAGAAAAUGUAAAUCUUUAUGUAUAUAUGAAUCUUGAACAAUCCCUAAUUUCGCACCCAUAUUAAUGGUUUGCAUAUCCCAUUCAUAUGUAUUACAACCAUCUACUAUAUAUAUCACAUUCAAAUAAAAGUAUGCUUAUAGAAUUGAUAUUGAAUACUCGAUCAAAUUAAUAUUCCAUUACUUAGAUCAAAACUCAACGGCAAAAACAAUGAAGGAUAGAAAAGCUCUUCAUGUAUAUAGGUUUGGAGCUUAUUUAUUUCUUCAUCGGCGGAUUUCUGAAGGGCAGCUUUUUGAAAAAAUUUCAAGUCUUUCACUAAUCCUCUUUUUCCACAAGUAAUGUCACAUUCCACAAGUAUUUCUAUAUGCUUCUUCAAUAUAUUUGAGAGAGAAGUUAUAUACAAAUUAUCACACACUCUCUCUAUUUGAAUUGAUUGAAUAAAGUGGACCAAAAAAAGUAUCAUUUUCCUUUCUAAAUUGAUAUAACCAAUAGUAAAGUGUCACUCUAAUGAAAUGAUAAAUCAUUUGUUAUGAUGUGAUAUACAUAUGAAAUGAUAAAUCUUUUGUUCAAAUAUAAAUUAGGUUGUUUUGUUUGAAUUAACAAUUUUGUUCUAUUCAUCUUGUCUGAGCAAUUGUUUACUUGACUUUCCUUACUCUCUAUUGAAGAUUCAAAAUUGUUGUCAUCAACCCAAAAUUAAACAGGUAUAGAGAGAUUCAAGAAAGGCUAAUUAGGAUAAAUUAUGAGAUAAAAUUGGCUUUAAGUUUUUAAUUAAGCUAAAAUAUUUUUAAUUAGAUUAUUAAAAACUGGACCAACACUCAAACCUAGUGCUCAAGCACUUUAAGAACACCCAAGCGUUUGAAGCAAAAUUUUCCAAAAUUGAAUUCCUUAUUUUGCUUUCAUUAUAGGUGUUUGCUCACUAAGGUUUCAUCUCUAUAUAAAUACUGUGCCUAAAAAUCAUUUUGGUUAUUGAUGCAAAUUUCAUAAAAAGAUUAUUAGCCUUUACUACAUCCCAAUACUCCCAUAUUUUUGUGAUUCUCAUUCUUUGGGUUGGUGAGAAAGAUCUUCAUCUCUUCAGGUGUUAAGGUAGUCCACUUGGUGCAGAUAUGAUGUUGCAUUUUGGACUUGAAAACUAGUAUAUAUAUUGGAAAUUAAAACUUAGGGAGAACAUCUGCCAUGUAAAUUUGUAUACUUUUCUUUUAAUAGUGGGCUUUUGCUUUAUAGUCUCUUGCCAUGUGAUUUUUUUUACAUUUAUAUGGUAUUUGGGAGAUUUUAUGGGUGGUUUUUCAUGUAAAAUUUGUUGGUUUCUCUUUUUUUUUUUUCUUUCUAAUUAUUAAAUAGGAAUUAAAAACAAAAAAUUGUAUUAAAAAGAAGAUAAUACGAAUUACCCCCUUAGGUAUUUCGUAAUUGAAAUAUACAAAUUUUUAGAAUGUCAUACAUUUAACAUAUAAAAUGUGGAGAAGAUUUCUAGUGUAUAAUUAAUAUAGAGAAUUCCAAGCAUAAGGUUCACGGAUUUAGAUUGAGUGCAAUCAUCUUGAGUUGUAAUUAUAUCAAAGUUGUUAAAGCAAUCUAUUAAAUUAAUUAUUAAAUAGGUCACAAUCUUCUAAACAAGAAGUAGCAUAGGAAAGAGAUUGCCAAGUCAAUAACCAAUGCUUUUGGACCACUUAGAAAGUUCCAUGGUUGUCACUCUGGGUGGGACUGCACUUGAAGCCCUUUUCUACUUCCUCACCCACUUCUUCCAAGAAGUUUGCUACCCACCGAUUACUCUCCCUUCCUUAACCCUUGUUUUGUUGAACCACAUCCUCUCCUUCAACAUUUAUCAACGACUUUUUUUUCUUGUUCUUGUUAGAUUAAUUUUUGUAAUUAAUCUAUAAUUUGGGCCACACAUGUAAAUAAUUAAAAUAUGUGUGCUAUCAUUUAAUUAAGCCUAAAUAUAGUGAUCUAAUUAAUAAUUGAUUAAUUGGCUUAAGGGUAUAAUUGUCAUGAGAUUAUUGUGUAGAUACCAUUAGACAAUUAUUAUUUCUAUGAGGGGCAGAAAUAUAAUUGUGAUAAAAUUAAAACUGCCCUAGCGGUUUAUAAAUAGGGUUAUGGUCCCCAUUCUACGACUACGCAUUCCAAUUUCUGAAAAUCCUCUCAGAGAGAAAUUGACACAGAAUCUAGUGGCUUGAAUUGGAAGACCAUCGCAAAGGGUUUUCUUCUUAUAAGGUUUCUCCUUCAAUGGAUUCAGGUAUGCUUCCGCUAUUAUUUUUCUACUCAUUGUUUUUAAUCAGGAGAUUCCAGUAUAUAUGAAAUUAUGGUAUUCACCUUGUUAAAUAUUCCAGUAUAUAUGAAGUUAGGGUAUUCACCUUGUUAAAUAUUCCAGUAUAUAUGAAAUUAGGGUAUUCAUCUUGGUUGAGAUACAACAAGUGGUAUCAGAGCCUACUCCUUGAUUAAUUCUUUGAGUUAUUAUUUUAAUAUAUAUAUAUAUAUAUAUAUAUAUAUAUAUAUAUAUAUAUAUAUAUAUAUAUAUAUAUAUAUAUAUAUAUAUAUAUAUAUAUGUCAAUGGAUUAAGAUUUAUGAAAUAUUGAGUUGAUAAUUUUUUUUAUUACUAUUAUUAUUAUUAUUAUUAUUAUUAUUAUUAUUAUUAUUAUUUAAUAAUUUUCUUAUAUUUAAUUUUACUAUGAAAAAUAUGAAAAAAAAUCAAAUAUAAUUAAUUAAAACUUAUCUAUUUUAAAAUUAUUUAAUCUUUAUAUAAAUGAAUUAAAACAAGUGAAAUAUAUUUAAAUCAACGAAACCAAUCUUGUUCUUCGCUGUUAAUGCCAUGGCCAUAGCUCUACUCCAUGUGUUGUAAUUGCUCUCAGUUAAGUGGUGUGAGACAAGGAUGAGUUCGGGAUGAUCACCAUUGUGAAGAAAAAAAGGGCUACUUACAUCUUCCAUUGUUGACACUUCAAAUGAUCUAAUCAUAGCUCGUUUAUUGGGUUGAUUACCUCGAGCCAUGAAAAAAAAUAAAAAAUAAAAAAUCAGAGAAUGAGCAUAAGGAAUUGCUCUGAUAUCAUAUUGCUGGUUUUACCAAAAGGAAGGAAUCAAAGGGAGAGAAAACAAAGUGAAUGCACUGAUUCUUUGAUCCUCAACCUCUCAACAGAAUAAAACCAAAAAGCUAGUUUAUAUGGGAGCCAGAGUAACAAACUGUAACCAACUCUCAGCUAUGAAAAAGAAAAAAAAAACAAACAAAGAAAAAUAACAAUCAAAGGGUAAUAAUCAAAGGUACUACCAGCCCUUAUUACAGAAAUGCCAAUAUGCUCUAAUAUUUAACAUCUCUUCUUUACUCAACAUUAGUCUGUCCUACAAAAGCCUCUCUGGGAGUCUUCCCAUGAAUAUAUGCAACACCAAUCCAAAGCUCAAGGAGCUUAAUCUUUCGUCAAAUCAUUUGAGUGGACAGAUCCCUAUUGGUUUAGGUCAAUGUAUAAAACUUCAAGUAAUUUCCUUAUCAUAUAAUGAAUUCACGGGAAGCAUACCAAGAGGAAUUGGUGAAUUGGUGGAGCUUCAGAGAUUCUCUCCAGAAUAACAGUUUGACAGGUACACUUUUUCUUUUCUUUUUUAUUUUUCCUUUUUAUUCUUUCACUUUCCCUCAAGCUUUCAAAGAUGUAAGCAUAACGUUAAUGUUUUUCCAACCAACUCAUUUUAAUUGUGUUACAGGAGAAAUACCUCAUUCUCUGUUCAACAUCUCUAGGCUUAAGUUUUUGAAUCUGGCAGUAAAUAACCUAAAAGGUGAAAUCCCCUCCACUUUGCCAUCUAGAGCUCCAAGUUUUAGCAUUAUCAUUUAAUCAAUUCACUGGAUGCAUUCCAGAAGGCAUAGGGAGUUUAUCUAAUCUUGAACAUAACAAAAUGGCAGGUGGAAUUCCUAAGGAGAUGGGGAAUCUUUGUAAUUUAAAUAUUUUGAGCCUAAAGUCUAGUGGACUAAGUGGUCCUAUUCCUGCCGAAAUUUUCAAGAUCUCUUCAUUGGAAAAGAUGUAUUUCCAAUGGAUAUUUGCAAACAUCUUCCUAAUCUCCAAGGGCCCUAUCUUGAUGGGAAUCAGCUCAGUGGUCAACUUCCUGCAACUCUGUCCUUAUGUGGAGAGCUUUUGUCACUAUCACUAUUUUACAACAAAUUCGCAGGAAGCAUACCAAGAGAAAUUGGCAACUUAUCCAAGCUUGAAUAUAUUAAUCUCAGAAGGAAUAGCUUCGCAGGUAGCAUUCCACCUUCAUUUGGUAAUAUCCCCAAGGAGUUGGGGAAUCUCAUCAACUUACAAUUCUUGGAUCUUUGCGACAACAAUUUAAUGGGGAUAGUACCAGAAGCUAUUUUUAACAUCUCUAAGCUGCAGAUCCUUUCGCUGGUACUAAAUCACCUUUCAGGCAGUCUCCCAUCAGGUAUUGGCACUUGGCUCCCGGAUCUUGAAGGGCUUUAUAUAGGUGCCAAUCAAUUUAGUGGAAUAAUUCCAUUGUCUAUUUCAAAUGUCAAAGCUAACAAUCCUAAGCAUGAGCAAUAACUUCUUCACUGGAUAUGUGCCAAAGGAUCUAGGUAACUUGAGACGACUCCAGUGGCUCCACCUUUCAGGAAACCAAUUGACUGAUGAACACUCAACCUCUGAGCUUGCCUUUCUUACAUCAUUAACGAAUUGCAACUCUUUGAGAAAAUUGUGGAUCAGUGGUAAUCCUUUAAAAGGCAUUAUUCCAAAUUCAUUAGGGAAUCUCUCAAUUUCUUGAAAGUAUUUACGCGGGUGACUGCCAACUCAGAGGCACAAUCCCUACAGGGAUUAGAAUUUGAUCAACUUGAUUGAUUUGACACUCAAUGAUAAUGACUUGAUAGGGUUCAUUCCAACAUCAUCUGGACUCCUACAGAAGCUGCAGUUUUUAGCUAUCCCUGGAAAUCGAAUACACGGAUCCAUUCCUCGUGGUCUAUGCCAUUUGACAAACUUGGGAUACUUGGAUUUGAGUUCGAAUAAACUUCCUGGAACAAUCCCUAGCUACUUUGGGAAUCUUACUAGACUGCGGAACAUCUACUCCAGUGGACUAGCUCCUGAGAUACCUUCAUCUCUGUGGACCCUUAGAGAUCACUUGAUUCUUAACUUGUCUUCAAACUUCCUCAACAGCCAACUACCCCUGGAAGUUGGGAACAUGAAGUCCUUACUGGUAUUGGACCUGUCAAAGAACCAAUUUUCAGGAAACAUCCCAAGCACCAUAUCACUUCUUCAAAACCUGCUCCAACUUUUCCUAUCCCAUAACAAGCUACAAGGUCAUAUGCCCCCCAAUCUUGGUGAUUUGGUGAGCUUGGAAUAACUGGAUCUGUCUGGGAACAAUUUAUCUGGUUCUAUUCCCAAGUCACUAGAGGCUCUGAAAUAUCUCAAAUACCUAAAUGUUUCUUUCAAUAAAGUACAAGGAGAGAUUCCAAACGGAGGACCCUUUGCAAACUUCACUGCUGAAUCUUUCAUCUCCAACCUAGCACUUUGUGGAGCACCUCGAUUUCAAGUCAUGGUACUUGAGAAAGAUACUAGAAGGAACACAAAAUCACUCCUCUUGAAAUGUAUUGUCCCUCUGAGUGUAUCAUUAUCAGCAAUAAUAUUAGUGAUUCUCUUUAUUCUAUGGAAGCGAAGACACACCAAGUCAGGAACUCCGGUUCAAGUUGAUUUGCCGCUUCCCAGAAUGCAUAGAAUGAUUCCACAUCAAGAACUCCUUUAUGCAACCAGCUACUUUGGUGAAGACAAUUUGAUUGGAAAAGGAAGCUUAGGAAUGGUAUAUAAAGGGGUACUAUCCGAUGGGUUGAUUGUUGCUGUGAAGGUUUUCAAUUUGGAAUUGCAGGGAGCUUUCAAGAGUUUUGAGGUAGAAUGUGAAGUAAUGCGGAAUAUUCGCCAUCGAAAUCUUGCCAAGAUAAUUAGUAGUUGCUCCAACUUGGACUUCAAAGCGUUGGUGCUUGAGUAUAUGCCUAAUGGGAGCUUAGAGAAGUGGUUGUACUCUCACAAAUACUACUUGGAUUUUGUCCAACGAUUAAAAAUUAUGAUAGAUGUGGCAUCAGGGUUGGAGUAUCUCCAUCAUGAUUACUCAAAUCCUGUGGUUCACUGUGACUUGAAGCCCAGCAAUGUCUUGUUAGAUGAUGACAUGGUUGCACACAUAAGUGAUUUCGGCAUUGCAAAACUGUUGAUUGGAAAUGAGUUUAUGAAGCGAACCAAAACCUUGGGCACCAUAGGCUAUAUGGCACCAGGUAAAGUUUCCUACAACUUCAACACAUUCUUAUGCCAUUUCUUUUCUCUCUCAACUAGCUGGUUUUCCAUAAUGAACAACUAAUAUUACAUGCAGGGAGUAGGUUAGAGGAUAAGUUAUUGUAAGUAUUCUAGGCUUUUUAAAUUGUUUUCAAUCCUUUGAAAAAUGGAGAGGUAGUCAUUGGAUCUUUACAAACGUCUUACAUGAUCAUUUUUGACCUCUUGAUACUUAAUUAAUAUUUUUUUUUAAAAGAAGAUUGUUUUUUUAUUAAUUAUUUAUCUUUAUGUCAUUGUUUCUUUGUUCAUUUUACUAAUGGAAACUAAUAAGCAUGCAGAGUAUGGCUCAGAGGGAAUAGCAUCCACAAAAGGUGACAUAUAUAGUUAUGGGAUCAUGCUGAUGGAAACUUUUGUUGGGAAGAAGCCUACUGAUGAAAUGUUCAUGGAGGAACUAACCUUGAAGAGUUGGGUGGAGUCAUCAACCAACAACAUAAUGGAGGUUAUAGAUGCCAAUCUCCUGACAAAAGAAGAUGAAAGUUUUGCCUUAAAACAAGCUUGUUUUUCUUCCAUCAUGACAUUAGCUUUAGAUUGUGCAGCUGAGCCUCCUGAGAAGAGGAUUAACAUGAAAGAUGUGGUGGUUAGACUCAAGAAGCUCUUGAAUCAAAUUGUUGAUUUAAAGACUCCAUAAUUAAAAAGAAGGCAUGGAGAUUAUGUUCCUUUCUUCCACCCUGAGCUUAUUUAAGAGUUCACAAAUCAAGAACUGAGGGACCAUUAAGCAUGGCCUGCCAGGUGGUUGAAAGUUCCUUAUUAUAUCAACUCUAUGCAAAUUAUGCUCAAAUGUGUGUGUAGUUCCAUCUAUUUUCCCCAAUGUAAUUCAGCUUGAAUAAUGCCAUGAAUCCGAAUGCUUUUACUUCGUAUUUUCCCAUUAGCAUGAUAUUAAGUGAAGGUUCCAGUGAGUAACUUCUAGAAGAACAUUUCAUGCUUUUCUUUUUAAGAUAUGAUAGACUUUAAUAAAUUAUUUGUCUAUGAUUGAUCACUUCAGCAAAUUGUCUAGUCAAAAUUGACCUCUACUUGUGGAUAUAUCUUACUUAAUUUCUUAUAACUUGCAAUUACUUCCCGAUUGUGUAUAAUUGGAUUUGGCUUAUUUCAAAAUCAUGGCUCAUGAGAAUUAAGAAGUUCAAGAAUUCAUAUUCAAAUGCGCCUUUCAUCUUCCAAACAUGUUUUAUGGUUUGAAAAGAAAAUAAUAUAAAUUGACAACAAUCAGCUAUUGAAAGAAUAGAGUAAAAGUGGUGUUCGUUUUACUCCAUGAGAGAUAUGACAUGAUCAAUAUUUAUCAUGUAAUCUGAACAAUUUUGAUUUUGUGUUUGUAUUCGUGAGAAUUGAGAUCUCAAAUUGGAAAAAUAAUUUAGUAAAAUGUUAAAAAAGAAAAAGAAAAAAAAGGUUGUUGCUCACGAAUUACUUGAUAGACGUUAAGAUUACUCACUGCUCUCACUGAUCUCACUGGUGUAACGGCUGCUGCUUGCUGCUGUACUUCAGAAGUUGUUGUGCUUCUAAAGUUAGGUAGUUUGUUAGAUUUUGUUAGAUUAGUUAGACUUUUGCACAAUGGAAAAUUCUACGGCACCGAAGUGGGUACCGCAGCUGCAAAAUUCUUGUCCGUUGGAUUAAAAGCUUCCAAUCAAGACUGAAUGCCUUUGCCCCACUUAGCUGGACUGCACCAUCGUAUUGCCUCUUCUUGAAUACGCUUUGCUUGACCAACUUUUCAGGUUUCUUUCUCGGUUUUGGUAGGACUGCACUGUCGUUGCCCCUGCUUGCCCUCCACGCACUUUUUUCCAAGGAGGUGGUUUCCGACCAAUCUCUUUCUUCUUGAAUACACCAUUAUAUCGUGAUAUGCGGGCAGAUCCAUAUGCAAAUUGAGUUUUGUCUCCUGUGGAAUGUGGACUACAGCACCGUGAUAACCCACUCUUCACUGCACCAGGCUUGACCCGAGGUUAGCUCUUUUGUCCUUUUGGAAAACUGCACCGCAGCUGUCCCUUCUUGACCGGCUCAAUCCACUUCUCCAAAAGAGGUUGAGGGUGUCUUGUCCCUUUAGGGAUCACCACACAGGGGUUACCAAGCAAUUACUUUGUUCUUUCUUCAUUCUGCCUACAUUUCUCCAGUUGCAUUAUGACAUGCAAAUGCUUGUUGAAUUGUUUUGAGUAUGUCCAGCUAGAGACAGUUGCAGCAGCUCUGCUCAUAAUCCAUGCUUUCUAUGAUGUGUAAGAAAUAUCUAACUUUAUGUUUGUUCAUACAGAAAAUGACACUUGAAUUAUAAUUCUUAUGGGAGUUAGAAAAGUCUUGCUUCUUUGAUGAUUAUCCAAAGAUUCAAUCAUGAAAUGCAGAAAAUGUAAAUCUUCAUGAAUAUAUGAAUCUCCAACAAUCCCUAAUUUCACACCCAUAAAUUCCUUAUUCCACUCCCAUAAUUUGUACCAUGCUCCCCCAUUUAUUUGUAAUACUUCAUAUGUAUUACAACCAUCUGCUAUAUAUAUCACAUUCAAAGGAAAGUAUCCUUAUAGAAUUGAUAUUGACUUUAAAUGCUUGAUCAAAUAUUCCGCUACAUAAAUCAAAACUCAAUGGCAAAUACAAUGAAGGAUAGAAAUUAAAAAAUUAAAAAUAAAAUAAUUUUAUGUAAAAUGAAAUAAAAAUACCUUUGAAGCUCUUCAUCUAGAUAUACUAGAUAUAACUCAAAACACCCACAAUCAUACACAAAGAAAGAGGAGUGAUAUGGCAUCUUGUAGCAAAUUCUUUGCAAAAUAGGGAUUGGUAUUUGAAAAUUUUAUUAUUAUUAAUCUACCAUUUCCAAAGUAAAAUCAUCAAAACCUUCUAAAUUUGAUUAUUCUUUCAUUAAAGUGUUGUCAAAUUUCUUGUUAAUAAAGUUUGAUAGAAGAUAAGAAAAUAAAAUUAUAAGGUAUAAUAUAAGUACUUUUUAAUAAUAAUAAUAAUAUUAACAAUAUUAUUGUUAUUAUUAUUAUAGUUAUGGAUUUCCUUAAUAUAAUACGUUAGAUGUUCUUUUAAGUAAAGGAAUAUUGUUAUUGCUUUUGUAAUAAUAUAUAAGAACAUUAGAAAAAAACAGUUAAUAAUGUAUUUAUUGACAAAUUUGGUAAUCAUAAUUUAACAUUUACAACUACCAUCAAUAAUAAUGAGAUUCUCACAUCUAUAGAAUUUAGAGGAUUUAUAACAUAAUCUUGUUAGGUUUAUAUGUUUAAUUUACAUGAGCAAAUGACUAAUAAAUUAUUUAGUCCAAUAAAUUGCAAUAGAUGUGAUAUUUUAUAUCAAAAUAAUUUUUACAAAUUAAUACAUUAAUUAUAUAAUAUUUGAAAAGAACAUUUAAAAUUUUUUAUAUAAUGAGUGUAGGGUUAAUUUUUCAAAAUAAAUUACUACUACAGUUUUUUUUUCUUUUUCUUUUUGGGCUAAAAUUAUCCAUAUUUGUAGCACGAAAAACCAUAUCCUUGAGUAAGAAAAUAAAAAUAAAAAUUACACAAUGUGUAUUGAACCAAAUCAAAAAUAUAAAAUAUAAAACUUCGAAUAUACUUCCUAUUAUUAUUAGUUCAACGAUUAAACUGGAAAAAUGAUUGAACAAGUCGAGUUUGAGAACUAGUUAACUUACAUAUAUAUAUAUUUUUUUAACUGUUUUCUUUUUUCAAAGUCUAAACAAAUGUUUUUUGUUUGUGCUAUAUAUUUGAAAACUAAAAUUUCCACAAAAUUUUAUUAAAACUUUAAACAAGUAAUCAAUAUAAAAAGAUUAAUUUAAUAAAUCACUCAUAUUUCUUGUCAUUAAACUGAGCAUUGUCAUCAACAAGUAUUUAACAUUUAUAUAACCUUGCUAAUCAAAAACAUAAAUAUGAUUUUUCUUAAUAUAUAUAUAUUUGUAGACCCCCGAACAGUAGAGUUCUUUGGGGUGAUGUUGCUUUUAUAUAUAUAUCUUCUGACCACCCUGGGAAUUAGGCUGACGGGGGUGGCCAGAUGGGACGCGAGAGGGGCAGAGAGUAGGUGAGAGUUGUGGAGGAAUGGGCGGGAAAUGAAAAACAGAGGAGGAAGAUAGAAAGGGGGAGGUUUUUUUUUUUUGAGGGGACUACGAGUUACAGAGGAAGAGUAACAGCAGGAGAGAAACGAGGUGAGGAGGGGGGAUUUUUUUUCAGCUGGCUAGAGGAGACCUUGAAAGCUAUUGGAGGAAAAACACAGGUAUCAUUUCUGCAAGCUAUGGAUUUUCUUAUGUUCAGGGUACUUUAUGAUGUCUUAUGGGUAUUAUGAGAUGUUAUUUUUGAUGCUUGAAUGUGCUUCCUUUUUUUUUUUUUGGAGAUUCUCACAUAUUUUUUAUGGAAUCUAAGCCUGCUUAUACUCACUCGAAGCUUGAUUUCCAACCUGUUCAUGGUCUCUGUUUUGGUGUUUUAUAUGAGAUGUUGGCAUCCACGUAUUGAUUUCUCUUUAGGAACUUAAAAUGGAACAAUAGAUGACAUGGAUGUUUCAGCCAAUGUAGUUGUUAUAAGUUUCUCCAUGCAUGCCACCACCCUUCCAGCUCUCCACUCUUCCCCCCCUCACCCCCAUACCCGCGUCAUGCCUAUCCCCAUUAGGACCCCGAAGUCACUCGCCUACAUGCGUAGGAAUCGUGCAUGCGUGGAGCCAUGGACGGCGGCAGCAGGCUGCCACCAGCUUGCUGUGGAUGGUGGAGGCGGCACGCGGUGCCGCGUGAUGGUGUGCAGCUCCAGAAGGUGUCGCGGAGUGAAAGAAAUGGUGUGAACGAAGUUGUCGCAGCAAGAGAGCGGUCAGCUGUAGCAGGCCGCGAGGGUGUCUGCAUGAAAAAAAAGAUGUGGAACGAACGAGAAAGAGAGGGGGAAGUGGCUGCCAAGAAGCUGGUUGGUGAAGAUGAUGAUGCCCAGGUGGAAAUGGCUUUGGGCUUAAGUUUGGAGCCCAGGCCCAAGCUUAUGAUGAAGAAGGUGUUUGUAUUGGGCUUGCCCACGGAGAUUUUGGGUUUAGGCUUGAGCUUUGCUGGUGGACUUGGAGGCUUGGGCUUGGGUUUGAGCUUUGCUGGUGGACUUGGAGGUUAGGAUUUGGGCUUGAGGUCUGCUGAUGGACUUGGACUGGACUAGGGUUGCUAGGGUGAUUUUAUUACUAUUAUUAUUAUUAUUGUUGUUAUUAUACUUAUUAUUAUUAUUAUUAUUAAUUCAACUUUUAAAAUCUCAUUAUUAUUAUUAUUAUUAAUUCAACUUUCAAAAAAUAUUAUUAUUAUUAUUAUUAUUAUUAUUAUUAAUCCAACUUUCAAAAUAUCAUUAUUAUUAUUAUUAUUAAUUCACACUUUCAAAAUCUAUUUAUUAUUACUAUUAUUAUUAUUAAUUCAAACUCUCAAAAUCUUAUUAUUAUUAUUAUUAUUAAUUCAACUCUAAAAAAAUCUUAUUAUUAUUAUUAUUAUUAAUCCAACUUUCAAAAUUUAAUUAUUAUUAUUAUUAUUAAUUCACACUUUCAAAAUCUAUUUAUUAUUAUUAUUAUUAUUAUUAUCAGUAAUCCAAACUUUCAAAAUCUUAUUAUUAUCAUUAUUAUUAUUAUUAUUAAUUAAUUCACACUUUCAAAGUCUUAUUAUUAUUAUUAUUAUUAUCAUUAAUUCAAACUUUCGAAGUCUUAUUAUUAUUAUUAUUAAUAAUUCAAGCUUUCAAAAUUAAUCUUAUUAUUACUAUUAUUAUUAUUAAUUCAAACUCUCAAAAUCUUAUUAUUAUUAUUAUUAUUAUUAUUAAUCCAACUUUCAAAAUCUCAUUAUUAUUAUUAUUAUUAAUUCACACUUUCAAAAUCUAUUUAUUAUUAUUAUUAUUAUUAUCAGUAAUCCAAACUUUCAAAAUCUUAUUAUUAUCAUUAUUAUUAUUAUUAUUAUUAAUUUACACUUUCAAAAUCUUAUUAUUAAUAUUAUUAUUAAUUCAACUCUCAAAAUCUUAUUAUUAUUAUUAUUAUUAUUAAUUCACACUUUCAAAGUCUUAUUAUUAUUAUUAUUAAUUCAAACUUUCGAAGUCUUAUUAUUAUUAUUAUUAUUAUUAUUAAUUCAAGCUUUUAAAAUUAAUCUUAUUAUUACUAUUAUUAUUAUUAAUUCAAACUCUCAAAAUCUUAUUAUUAUUAUUAUUAUUAAUUCAACUUUCAAAAAAUCUUAUUAUUAUUAUUAUUAUUAUUAUUAUUAAUCCAACUUUCAAAAUCUCAUUAUUAUUAUUAUUAUUAAUUCACACUUUCAAAAUCUAUUUAUUAUUAUUAUUAUUAUCAUUAAUCCAAACUUUCAAAAUCUUAUUAUUAUCAUUAUUAUUAUUAUUAUUAUUAUUAAUUCACACUUUCAAAAUCUUAUUAUUGUUAUUAUUAUUAAUUCAACUUUCAAAAUCUUAUUAUUAUUAUUAUUAUUUAUUCACACUUUCAAAAUCUUAUUAUUAUUAUUAUUAUCAUUAAUUCAAACUUUCGAAAUCUUAUUAUUAUUAUUAUUAUUAAUUUAAACUUUCAAUAAAUCUUAUUAUUAUUAUUAUUAUUAUAAAUUCAACUUUCAAAAUCUAUAUCCUUGCAUUUUAAUUCCCUAAAGUUCAUUUCUCAUUUUCUUUGGCAAAUUUUAUUUUAAUUACUGAAGCUCUAAUCUUUUGAAUUUAAUUCCCAAAAUCUCCAAUUUUCCAAUAAACUCCAAGAAUCCAGUCUUCACCCUAAUAGUUUUAAUUCCAUUUCAGUUCCUAAAUAAUCUUCCGAUCUUCUUGAUUUUACAUAAGCAAUAGUGAAUUCUUCAUAAUUCUAAAACACGGUAUUUGUGAGACUAGUUCGUGAAUAAUAAAUUUGGCUUUGGUGGAGGGGGCCUAUGUUUGAUCCCUAUUGAUUGUCAACUGUUGUGCUUAAUAUAUUUUGCUUAAUCUUCAUUUUGCACUUCGAUAUGCAUGAGCUAUAAUUUGUAUUCGUUAAUUGUGUAUUAAUCUCAUUUCUUGAUAGCGCAUUGUGGCUCGUGGCCCAGGUACGCAUACAUUCUCAUUCUGAUACUUCACUAUACGUGUUUCGAUUCUCAUAUGUGCAUGAUCAUUCAGGAUAUUCAUUGAUUUACUCAUCAACUGCCACAUCAGCUUUAUUUUAUCAGUAGAGACCUGACUUUAGGGACUUAGAGGGGUGCUAUGGUCUUCACCGUACCUUCCCGAUAAGUAACUUGACCCCUGAGCCCGAUCCGGUUUUUCGUAGAUCGUCUUUUCCAAAACCAGGAGUCGUAUUUAGGGUUUUUCUUUCUUAUUUUGUUUACCCUUUUAAAAAUAAAACAAAAAUAAGUGGCGACUCUAAGUCAUUUUUAAUCAACAAAUCAAUUUUUAAAAUAAAAAUCGAACUCGCCAUUCGAGUGGGAAACGCAUGAGCCGAAAUGCAGGGUCCGCAAUAUUAAUCAUUAUUUAGUUGCAUAGGAAUUUUAAGAAAUUUAAUUAUUUUACUAAGAAAUUCAUCAUGAAGCUUAAUUUGUAAAAUUACAAAAAUGUCCAUGAAAUGGAACUUUUUGUUGGAAGUUGAUAUCUUAUACCAUAUUUUAGUCUUUUUUUUUUCUCCUUAUUCUUUUUUCUUAAACAUAAAAUUUAAAAUGACAUAAAAAAUUUACUUUUUAUGUGAGAUAAUAUUUUAGUUUUUACUUUGAAUAACUUAAAUUAAUUUUUUGAUCAAUAUUCAUCAUUGAAUUUGGGCAAUUUUGAAAAGGUCAACAAUUUUAAUUUUAUGUUUUUUAUUUGUGAGAAUUAAGAUCUCAAAUUACGAAAAGAAUUCAGUAAAAUGUUAAAAAUAAAAUAAAAUUAAAUGAAGAUUAACUUUUGGGAUGUUAUUUACGGUUGAUUUGUCAAUAGGAAGUAACUUUUCCAACAAUAAUCACCAUGGCAAUGUGGGUGUCUCAUGGCUGUGCAUGGUUUUAUUUCUAUACACAAAAAUCUGUCAUUUCAUCAAAUCAUAUGGUAAUCAACUAAGUUUGAACUUAGAUUGGAUUUUAAAAUCAAAUAGAAAUAACUUAGAUUAAAAAAAAUAAAAAAAAUAAAUAUAUAAAAAGAAAAAUCACCAAUUCAUCAAACAAACUCUUACUUGAAUGGAAUAACAUGAAUAUUGAUAUUAAUACAUCUAUAUCUAUAUCUAAAGUGAUAUAGAUAUGAAAUGACAAAUAUUUUGUUUACAUAUAUAUUAUGAUGUGUAAUCAAUUUACUUCUAAAAAGAGGAGAAAAUUUUAAGAAUAUUAAGGUAGAGGAUUCUAAGCAGAAUCUUAAGGGAUUAAAUAGUUUGAGUCCAAUCAUCAAUUAGUUGUAAUAAUAUCUUAAAACAGUUUUGUUAAAUUACUAAACAGAUUACAUCAAAGUUGUUAAAACAAUAUUUUAUUAAAUUAUAAAAAAGAUCAAAUAGAUUCAAUUAUCUAAAGAAGGGGUAGCACCGGAAAUGGUGACUACCAAGUCAAUAAAUAACCAAUGUUUUUGCACCACUUUGGUGAGUGGACGGCACCAUGGUUGUCACUCUGAUGGGAUGACAUCUUUAUCUAAAAAAGGUUGUUGCCCACUAAUUACGGGUUAAAAAAGUUGUCGCCCAGUGAUUACUUGAUAGACAUCAAGAUCUCUCAUAUCUCUCAGUAGUGGAAGACGACUGCUGGUGUGCUUUAGAAGUUGUUGCAUUUAGAUAGGUUAGGUGGUUUGUUAGACUCUUUGGAUUAGUUAGACUGUUACACAAUGGAUAUUAUGAAAGAAUAAAAAUAGAAGAAAGAGAGUUGAGUUUUCUGGAAAAACUUUCGUUACUUUCGCUUCGUUAACCUCAACUUUUAUGACACAUCCUAAUCUUCUCCAACCUCCUUACCUCCGGUGACUGUAACAACACUCCAGAAUCCACUCAUCAAACGGAAAAAAAAAAAAGUUAAAGUAGUAGAGAUUUUUAUGAGGGAUUAAAUUAAUACAUUUGGGGCAACUCAUCCAUUCAAUAAUUAAUUUUUUUUUCGAUAGUUCAAUUUAUCGACUUCUGAUAUCCAACAAAAUGGGAAAACUUUUGAUAUCCUCUAUCUAAUAUAAUAAAACCGAUUCCUGAUCACUCAAGGAAAAGAAGGAAAAGAUCAAUGUAUCUGUAAACCUAGUUUCAUAUACUACCACAUCCUCAUCAGACAUUAAUUAAUUCCUAAUCACUCAAGGAAAAGAUAGAUGUAUUUGUAAACUUGAAAUUUGUCCAAGGGUCUUUUUGAACCCAUUGAAUUAGAAAUAUUUUUACCCUCUUAUACUUAACCUAUAAACUUUUUAUAUUUGUUUUGGAAAGAGAGAAAAUCAGAAGUUUUUAAGGGUAAAAUUAGGAUGUUUUGAGAGAAGAGAGAAAAUUAUUUUUAGAGAAAAUUAUAAUUUUUUUUAAGGGGGGGCUUUUUCUCACAACCAAGGAAGAGAGAGAGGGAGAAGAAAAGAAAAGAUAGAGAGAGAGAGAGAGAAAAGGAAUGAAAAGGAGGAUUUUGUGACAGAAGAAUUGUAUAGUAGGGUAUUUUCAUGUUGUACCCGUUGAAUAUGGUCAUAACUAUACACUUUUCUACUCGUAGAGAGUAAAGGUAGUGUUAUUGUUUUACUCAAUCGAGAUAUAACAUGAUCAAUAUUCACCAUCAACCAUUGAAUUUGAGCAAUUUUUAAAAGGUCAAUGAUUUUAAUUUUAUAUUUGUUUACAUAUGAUAAUUAAAAUCUCAAUUUGGAAAAAAAAAAUCCAGUAAAAUGUUUUUUUUUUAAAAAAAACAAAACAAAACCAAAAACAAAUUUGAAUGAAGAUUAACUAAUGGGGAUGAUAUGUACCUUUGAUUUGUCAAUAAGAAGCAACUUUUCCCAAAAAUAAUUACCAGGACAAUGCAGGUGUCACACAACCAUGCUGACCAUAAUGAUUUUAUUUCUAUAACAAAAAAUUUAUCAUCUCAUGGAAUUAACACAACAAUCAAUGAAGUUUAAACUUGGUUUGAAGUUUAGAAUCAAAUUGAGAUAACUUAGAUUUUCUAUAAAUACUUCAAAUUAGGAAAUUGAAAAUAUAGGAAAUAAGUUUUUCAUAAAACAUAUUAAAAUAUCUUCUAGAAAUAACAAUACAAAAAAUAUGGAAUGAUCACUUAAUGCAAAUUAGAUUAAGAAAAAAAAUCAACAAUUUGGACAAACUCAUACUUGAAAUGGAAUAACAUGAUGUACUAAUGUCUCUAAUCUCUAAUGUGAUAUAGAUAUAAAAUGAUAAAUAUUUUGUUGAAAUAUAUAUUAUGGUACAUAUGCAAUCCAAUUAAUGAAUAGAAAGCAAAUUCUAAGUACAAGGCUGAUGGAUUAAUUAGUUUGAGUGCAACCAUCAUUGAGUUUGUAAUUAUAUCAAAGAUGUUAAAUUAAUUUAAUAAAUAGUAAACAGAUUAUAUAGAUUGAAUUAUCCUCUGAAAAAAGAGUAGCAUGGGAAGUUGGACUACGAAGUCAAUAGCCAAUGCUUGUGCACCACUUUGUUAAGUUGUGUGUCUUUUUCUUUUCUUUUUUUCUCCUUUGGUAAUUGGACUGCACCAUGGUGUUGUCAAUCUCCAUAGGACUACACUGAAGCCUUUUCCACCACCCUAGACCCCUUUUUCCCAAAAAAGGGUUGUUGCCCACUGGUCACUUUCCCUCCGUUAACCUCAGCUUUUAACUUACCCUAAUCUCCUCCAACCUUUAUCAACUACCAACUCAAGGAUCGAUCACUGCAAUAAUCAUUGAGUUGUAAAUAUAUGGAAGUUGUUGAAACAUUUUUAUUGAAUAUAUACAGGGUAAUGCAUUGAAUUGCCUUCUAAUAAAAAAGGAGUAGCAUUUUGAUGUGAGACUUCACAAUCAAUAACUAAUGCUUUUGCACCAUUCAGACAACUACAUGUGAAAGUGGUGUUAUUCUUAAUCUUUUUUAAAUACAUAAGCCAGUUGCACGGUCCAGAUUGAACCACCUUCAUCCAAUGGCCAAAAAUGUUUUUUCGGUAGGUACCGAAGUGGUGCGAAUUUUCCAUUAGUUAGACUGUUACACAAUGGAAAAUUCUGCGGUACGGAAGUGGGUACGGUACCUGCCGUUGCCCCUGUUAGAAAAUUCUAAAGUUGAUCAACUUUUCAGGUUUCUUUCUCGGUUUUGGUAGGACUGCACUGUCGUUGCCCCUGCUUGCACUCCAUGACCCACUUUUUUCCAAGGAGGUGGUUUCCCACCAAUUUUUCUCUUCUUGAAUACACCAUUAGAUCGUGAUAUGCGGACAGCUCUAUAUGCAAAUUGAGUUUUGUCUCCUGUGGAAAGUGGAAUGUGGAAUGUGGAAUGUGGAAUGUGGACUACAGCACCGUGAUAACCCACUCUUCACUGCACCAGGCUUGACCCGAGGUUAGCUCUUUUGUCCUUUUGGAAAACUGCACCGCAGCUGUCCCUUCUUGACCGGCUCAACCCACUUCUCCAAGAGAGGUUGAGGGUGUCUUGUCCCUUUGGGGAUCACCACACAGGGUUUACCCAGCAAUUACUUUGUUCUUUCUUCAUUCUUCCUACAUUUCUCCAAUUCCAUUAUGAAAUGCAAAUGCUUGUUGCAUUGUUUUGAGUGUGUCCAGCUACAGACAGUUGCAGCAGCUCUGGUCAUAAUCCAUGCUUUCAGUGAUGUGUAGGAAAUAUCAAAAUUUAUGUUUGGUCAUGCAGAAAAUGACAGCUGAAUUAUAAUUUUUAUGGGAGUUAGAAAAGUCUUGCUUCUUUGAUGAUUAUUCAAAGAUUCAAUCAUGAAAUCCAGAAAAUGUAAACUUCAUGUAUAUAGGUUUGGAAUUUAUACAAAGAAAGAGGCGCGAUAUGACAUCUUUUAGCAAAUUUUUACUUACAAAAUAGGGAUUGGUAGUUGAAAAUUUUAUUAUUAUUGAUCUACCAUUUCCAAGUAAAAUCAUCAAAACCUUCUAAAUUUAAUUAUUCUUUUAUUAAAGGGUUGUCAAAUUUCUUGUUAAUAAAGUUUCAUAGAAGAUAAAAAAAUAAUAUUAUAAGGUAUAAUACAAGUACUUUUUAAUAAUGAUAUUAUUAUUAUUAUUAUUAUUUGUAUUUUGUCUAUCAUUUUAUAUUUAUAUAUAUAAAUAUAAAUCAGUCUCCAAAAGCGGUUGAGGGUGUUCUUGUCACUUUAGGGACCACCACACAGGGGUCACCCAAUAAUUACUUUGUUCCUUCUUCAUUCUUCCUACAUUACUCCAAUUGCAUUAUGACAUGUGCAAAUGUCGUAGAAUUGUUGAAUAUGUCUAACGAGAGACAGUUGCAGCAGCUCUGGUCCUAAUCCAUGCAUUCAAUGAGGUGUAGGAAAUACCAAACUUUGUGUUUGGUCAUGCAGAAAAUGACUUUGGAAUUAUAAUUUUUAUGGGAGUUGGAAAAGUCUUGCUUCUUUGAUGAUUAUCCAAUGAUUCAAUCGGGACAAGCAAAAAAUGUAAAUCUUCAUGCAUAUAGGUUUGGAAGUUAUUUCUUCAGAAAAUAUAAAUAUCCACUAAACAUUAAUAUAGUUGAAAAUAAAAAAACAUAUAUAAUAAAAAACAUAUAUUAUAAAUUAGAACAUCUUCUUACUUUAUAGUAAUUUCCUUAAAAAAAUUACUUUAUAUUCCACUAAACAUUAGCCUUUUAAAUCAACUGAUGUUUCACAAACAACUUUAAUUUGUUUCAAAUGAAAGAAGUCGACAUUUGUAAUUAUUAUUGCACCUUUAUUACUUUUCAAAUCCCAUUUGUAAAAAUAAAUAUUAGGACCCACUCUUAUACACAGAACGCAACGUUUCUCUUUCAAUGGCGUGGUUUUGGAAUAUUACGUGCCUUGGCUAUAUAAAGAGGUCGAGGUUCAAGGUUGGAAUAUGUAAAAAUCAGCGGUAAGAGAUCGGUGUGAGAUACAUGGAUUUGGCAAACGGUGUGAUAUCAGCUGAGCUGCUUCAUGCUCAAGCUCAUGUCUGGAAUCAUAUAUUCAACUUCAUAAAGUCUAUGUCACUAAAAUGUGCUAUUCAACUAGGCAUCCCAGACAUCAUCCACAACCAUGGCAAGCCCAUGACUCUUCCUGAGCUGGUCGCUAAGCUCCCAGUCCACCCUAAAAGGAGUCAGUGCGUGUACCGUCUCAUGCGCAUUCUUGUUCAUUCUGGCUUCCUUGCUGCGCAAAGAGUCCAACAAGGUAAGGAAGAAGAGGGGUAUGUGCUUACAGAUGCCUCUAGGCUCCUUCUAAUGGAUGACUCCUUGAGCAUAAGGCCCUUGGUGCUUGCCAUGCUCGACCCAAUUUUAACUAAACCAUGGCAUUAUCUGAGUGCUUGGUUUCAAAAUGAUGAUCCCACUCCGUUCCACACUGCUUACGAGCGGUCAUUUUGGGAUUAUGCCGGCCAUGAACCCCAGCUCAACAAUUCCUUCAAUGAAGCCAUGGCUAGCGAUGCUCGCUUACUCACCAGCGUGCUGCUUAAGGAGGGCCAGGGCGUAUUUGCGGGGUUGAACUCAUUAGUUGAUGUAGGGGGUGGCACAGGAAAAGUGGCCAAGGCCAUUGCUAACGCUUUCCCACAUUUGAACUGCACCGUGUUAGAUCUCUCCCACGUGGUUGCUGGCUUGCAAGGGAGCAAGAACUUGAACUACUUUGCAGGUGAUAUGUUUGAGGCAAUUCCUCCUGCAGAUGCAAUUUUACUCAAGGUAUACCCCAAUUUUCUCUUGUCAGUUACAUAACGUUGUCUGGAUCACAAAGAAUAAGAAAAAAAAAAAUUUUAAAUGUUCAAAAAACAAAAAAAAAAAAAAAAAAAAUUCAUUUUACGUUGUCGGUCAGUCCGGGUUCAAAUAUGCUACAAGUUAUAUAGGGGUUCGGCUGGAAAAGCCAACUGAAAUAAGGUCACCGAUCACAAAAUACUAGGUGUCGAAUUCAUCAUGUGGCUCUUUCAUAGUUAGUUUUUAUCCAUGGACAUGAAUUGAAUUGGAUUUCUGGUGAAGCUUUCUCCAUCCGAACCUAAUUAUAUACUUCCAUGUCUAACUGGAAUUCAAAUGACUAGUGGAUACUGCACGACUGGAGCAAUGAAGAAUGCGUGAAGAUACUAAAGCGAUGCAGGGAAGCAAUUCCGAGCAAGGAAAACGGAGGAAAGGUGAUUAUCAUAGACAUGAUCAUGAUGAAGAAUCAAGGAGACUACAAGUCCACAGAAACACAGCUGUUCUUUGAUAUGACGAUGAUGAUUUUCGCCCCGGGUAGAGAGAGGGACGAGAACGAAUGGGAGAAGCUAUUCUUGGAUGCUGGUUUCAGUCACUACAAGAUAACUCCCAUUUUGGGUUUGAGGUCCCUCAUUGAGGUUUAUCCUUGAUGCUCUUUUUGUUUGUAGUAUGGCAAAUUUAUGCAUGGUUAAUUCACAAAGUCUGCUAAGAUUAAGAUGGUUCUUGCUCCGUUUGAUUGGGCAGAAGUACUGUUCAUCUUUGUUAUAUGAAUUUCAAUAAUAAUAAUGACUUUCUUCAUAUAAUCUACGUGUUUGUUUUGGAGUAAUGAAUUAUUAUUUUCUGUAAUAUUAAAUUUGGUGGUUCAUGGUUGAGUAGUGUUAGAGUGCAUGAUUGUGUGCCUAAAUUCUAUAAGUUUAAAAUUUUAGAAAAAUUGGUUGUUUAAUAUGAUAUUAUACCCUCUUUGAAUCUCAUCCUCUAUGUUUUUCCCUCAAUUUAUCAAAAAGAAGAAAAGAAAAAAAUUACCUUUCCAUUUUAUUAAAGCCAUGUGUAAGUUCAAAGAAAGUCGACUCAUGAAAUGAUUGUAGAUUCAAAUCCUUAAGGUUACGUUUGGUUAUCGAAAAAUGUGAGGAAAACUACGAUGAAAAUAAAAUAGAGAGGAAAAGUAAAAAAAAAAAGAAAAAAGAAAAAAGAAAUAAAAAUAGAUUUAAGGUUAUUAAAUUAUUUUAUAUAUUACUUCAAACUCAUUUAAUUUAUUUUUCUACUUCUGCAUAAAGAUUAAAUAAUUUAAAAAUAUAUAAAUUUCUAACUAAUUUUAGUGAUAUUUAAUUUUUUUUAAUAUAGAGACCAAACAUGAAAAAAAUCAUUUUUCUUAAUAUUUUUUUGGUUCCUCGAUACUUUUUGUAUGUUUCAGUCAUUUUUUUUUUAAUGAUAUAAAAAAGAUUUGUUAAACAUUAUUAAGAGAGAAAAGGUUGAAAUUUUCUUUUCAAAAGAAAACCUCUCCAAAUCAAUUAUGAAAAGGAGACUUUUCAAGGGUGAAAGUUUAUUACUCUUUUUAUUUAAAGGACUUAUUUUUGUCUUAGUAAAAAAAAAAAUGAAAAUGAGGAUUAACUAAACAGGAAAGGUGAUUCAAAGACAAGGAUAAGAAGGGUGAUGAAGAAUGGAAAAGCCUUCAUACUAAAAAAAAAGUCCCUCUCUUCCAAUCAUUUAUACUGAGACUGAACAAAAGUGUAAGGUAAAGAAUUUUGUAUGUAUUUUGGGAUUAAAAUCGAUCGUAUGUGUAUUGUAGAGUACGUACAUAAUAGGCAUGAGAAAUUGUUAAGAUAUCUAUGGAUAAGAAAUUUAUUGUGUGGAGAUUAUUAUUAUUAUACAUUUUUUUAGCUAGUUAGUUGGUGAGAAAAUGCAAACCCUAAUUUUGUGGGUUCCCAUUUGUAAGAAUUUUUUUGAAGUCAUAUAUUUUAAUGGAGUUGCAAAUUAUUGGAAUACUAAAUAGAAGGAAAAUUUAGGCCACGUUUGGUUCUUAGAAAACUUGAGGGAAAAUGUGAAGGAGAGAAAAGAAAGGAAAAGUGAAAGGAAAAGUGGAAGGAAAGUGAAAGAAAAUAAAAAAUAAAUAAAUUUAAAUUCAAUAAAUUAUUUUUAUAUGUUUCUUCAAACUCAUUUGACUUACUUCUCACCAUUAUAUAAAGAUUAAAUAAUUUAAAAAUAUAUAAUUUUUUUUACAAAUUUUAAUUAUAUUUUAUUUUCUUUUGUAUUUUUCAUGGUGAAACCAAGCAUGAGAAAAUCAUUUUCUUUGCCUUUUUUUUUUCCUUUCGUCAGUACUUUUCAAAAACCAAGCAUAAGCUUAAUGUUUGAUACUUGAAUCAAAUAUGUUUAAGUAGGGAAUAAAGGAGGAAGGGCGACCUGCAUUUGAAAAAGAAAAAGGAAAUGUAAGAAGUUGUAGUAAACGAGGCUUAGAAAUUACGAGAAAUACAAUUUUGGGAGGGUUAUGCAUGGGCAGGCCUGUGUAUUUGAAACGAUCCCUAUGGACCUUCAUUUUCAUCAUGCGCUCCCCACUCGAUUGGUGAGAUUCGCUUUUGAUUAAAGUGAAAAAUUGUACAUAUAUAAAAACUUAGAGUUGUCACUUACUUUUAUUUAUUUUGUAAAAAGAAAUCAAGUAAUAACAAAAUAAAAAUAAAAAUGACUCCUAGUUUAUUUAGAAAAGUUGUAUAUGGAAAACUCGAGUUUGGGUUCGGGGAUCAAAUUACUUAUUGGAAAGGUACAUCAAGGAGGUAACACCCCUUUAAGCCCUAAAAUAAUCUCUACUAGCUGAGUUAAGGGAAAUACAAUAAUUAAUCAAAUGAUUAUGAAUACCUAGAUAGGUUAAGGUGAUUUUAAAAGUCUACUAACUCUAGUAUGUCAAACAAGGAUUCAAACCACAAUCAUAAAGAAAGGAUAAUAUGCGUACUUGGAUUUGCAACUUAAAUGCUAUCACAAAAUAUCAAAGUUAGUUCAGUUAUUAUCUCACUCAACAUGCAUUUUAUCAUAGGAAGUCAUCAAGGCACCCAAAGUCAAUAUCAACACAUGGAUAUAGUUUCCAAUGACAUACAUAUUCAUAGAACUUUGAAAUGAGAAGAUAGAGAGCGUACCUGAGUAGCAAACAUUAGCGUUUUUAUAAAAAUGAGGUUAAUUCACAAAUGAUAAUAAUAAGAUUAAUGAAUAAUAAAAAACUAAACCUAUAUAUAUAUAUACUUAGCAUGUCUCAAGUCAAGGAAAGUUCACAAGCAUGUUCAAAAGGGACCAAAUUAUCAAAAGCAAAGGAAUUAUCAUUAAUAGGUAGAAUAUCGGUUCACAAAAUAAACUCCAAAUAAAUAUCAAGAAAUGUUAUCUUACCAAAAUAAAAAGUAGGUAACAUCUUUAACAUGUCCAGAUUAACACCCAAUAGACCAAAUUAAUCAAUUAUAUUCCAAUUAAUAUCAAAUUUAUUCACAAGUGGGUUACUUCACAAAAAAAUCAGCAAAUGAUCAGAAUAUAUUCCAAUUAAUAUCAAAAUUUUUCAAAUAUGCAUACCGAAUAAAUUUGGUUGCAUGAAUUUUGGAAAAUUGACAUUUCUUUACCUAAUUGAUCUAAGAUUAAUUUUAAAAUGAAGUUAGAAGAUUAAUUUGGCUAUAUAAAAAAAGUUAAAACAAAUUUUAAAAAAUAUUAAAACACAUAGAAUCUCAAACACAAACUAUCAAGAAAAAAUGUAAAUGUGUAUAUGUGAAUUCUCUAGUGUGCCAUGAUGAAACUCAAGUGUCCUAAAUAUUAACCUAAGGUGCAGCUACAUUUAAGACUAAUUAUGUCUUAAUUUGGGUCUUAAAUUAUGAUACAAAAGUAUCCUAAGUGUGUGCCUAAUUAAGCCUAGACAAGCAAUCAUCUAUUGGUGCCAAACGUAUGUGAAUUAUGAUAGGUAAGCCGAAAACUUGCAUUAGCCGAAAAUGAAAAAUCAAGGAGGCAUAAAACCUAAUUAAUGCAUUUAUUCAAAGCCCAUUGUCAUGCAAUUUUCCAAUGCUUAUUCAAAUAAAAGAGUUUGAAGAAAAAUUAACCCAAUCUCAAUCAUAAUUUAUCAAACAAUCAACAUUCAAUCAAACAAAUUCCCAAAUGUCAAAUCGAAUAACACUCAUGUGUGGCCCGAUUUGUCCACACCCAACCUAUUCUAAUGUAUUCGAAAGAAAUAAAUAAAGAAGAAGAUAUGAAAAAUUAAAUCAGAAUUAGGACAAUUAGAUAAUUCAUCACAAGGUGUCCAAAAUUCUAUUAAUACCUUGAUGUUCUCCAAGUUGUGUUCGACUCAUCUCUGCUACAGUUUCAGCAAAACCUUCUUGUGACCCUUAAUGUCCACACCAAACAACAAACGACAUCGGAAGAUCGACAGAAAAAAGAAAAGGAAUGCAUGAUAAUUGAAAUGAACCAAUGAACCAGAAACUUACUACAGCCAUACCUAUAACAACUCCUCCAAACCUUGUUGACCAAGCUUCAAGCAAGUUGCAUCCCCUCCUAUAGCUGAUAAAAUGACUAGCCCUCAUUCUCUGUCCUUUAAAUGUCUUCUCCUUUAUUUUCCUUUAUGUUUUCCUUUUGUUUCUGGUUCUUUCUCUCUCUCUUCGAGCGCUCUUUGAAUUUUUUCCUCUGUACCUCUUUGUCCCUAUCUCUGCUUUUCCUUUAAAAAUCAGAACUUUUUCUUUUUCUUUUUCUCCUCAGAAUCCUUCAUCUAAAAGACUUUUUUCUUUUGUUUCUGGUUGCACACACAUUGCAGCUAUAGCAGCCACCUGAAUAACCUCUUUCAUGGAGUAUUGACCCUCCAGUGCUGGAUCCAUUAUCUGUACAACCUUCUCUCUAUCUGUGAGGUGGGGCAAAGCCUGUAGCAAAACCGAUAGACAACAUGAGAUAGUCCGUAAAGUCAGAAUGAAGUAAAAGUGUGUGUGUGUAUAAGCGAGAGACAGAGAGUAAGUAAGAGAUAUAGGGGAAAGGAAGAGAAGGACAGAUAGGGGGAGAGGUAGGGAGAGGGAGGGAGAGAAGGAUGGAUACGGGGAGAGGUAGGGAGAUGGGAGAGGGGGAGAGAUAGGAAGGAGAUAGAGAGAUAGAGAGAGAGAGAGAGAGAGAGACUAGAAUAAGAGAAAGUAUGCCAAAGAAGCGUGUGUGUAUGUUUGGGCAUGUGUGGCAUGCACAUGUGCAUGUGUGUGUGUGUGUGAGAGAGAGAGAGAGAGAGUAAAAGAUAAGAGAAAGGAUGCCAAAGAUGAGCUCCUCUAAACUAAGUAAAAAGGUGGAAGAGAGUUGUUAAUAUAUUAUGAAUCAUUUUAUUGCAGUGGAAUCAACUAAGCAGACAUGAGGAGCCCACCCAAGAUACAAGAACACCUUCCCCAGAAGCUCUCUUCAUAUCCACUGGAACUCUGCCAGUGAGCAACUCCAAAAGGACAACCCCAUAGCUGUACACAUCUGAUUUUGUUGUUAGAUGGCCAGUUAAUGCAUACCUGUACCGCAAACCAAUACCAAAUUCGUAAUUAGUUGGCAUCAAAGUUUUACAUAAUGAACAACUAAUAUUACAUGCAGGGAGCAGGUUAGAGGAUAAGUUAUUGCAAGUUUUCUAGGUCUUUAAAAUUGUUUUCAAUCAUUGGCUCUUCAUAAAUGUCUUACAUCUUUUUCGACUUCUUAAUACUUAAAUAUUUUUUCACAAGAAGGUCGUUUUUUAUUAAUAUUUAUCUUUCUUUGUUCAUUUUAUUAAUGAAAACUAAUAUGCAAGCAUGCAGAGUAUGGUUCAGAGGGAAUAGCAUCCACAAAAGGUGAUAUAUAUAGUUAUGGGAUCAUGCUGAUGGAAACUUUUGUGAGGAAGAAGCCUACAGAUGAAAUGUUCGUGGAGGAACUAACCUUGAAGAGUUGGGUGGAGUCAUCAGCCAACAACAUAAUGGAGGUUAUAGAUGUCAAUCUUCUAACAGAAGAAGAUGAAAGUUUUGCCUUAAAACAAGCUUGUUUUUCUUCCAUCAUGACAUUGGCCUUGGAUUGUACCGCUGAGCCUCCUGAGAAGCGAAUUAACAUGAAAGAUGUUGUGGAUAGACUCAAGAUCUUCAACAAAUUGCUGAUAUAAGGACUCCACAAUUAAGAAAAAAAAAAAGGCAUGAAGAUCAUGUCCCUUUCUUCCACCCUGAGCUUGUUUAAGAGUUCACAAAUCAAGAAUUGAGGGACCAUUGGGCAUGGCCUGCUAGGCAGUUGAAAGUUCCUCAUUAUAUGAACCCUAUGCAAAUUAUGCUCAAGUGUUUGUGUAGUUCCAUCCAUUUUCCCUAAUGUAAUUCAACUUGAAUAAUGUCAUGGGUCUGAAUGCUUUUAUUUUGUAUUUUUCUAAUAGCAUAAUAUUAAGUGAAGGUGCCCAAUGCGUAACUUCUAGAAGAACAUUUCGUGCUUUUCUUUUUAAGAUAUGAUAGACUUUACUACAAUAAAUUAUUUGUCUAUAAUUGAUCACUUUAGCAAACUGUCUGGUCAAAAUUGACCUUUGCUUGCAGACAUAUCUUACUUAAUUUCUUAUAACUUGCAAUUACUUCCAGAUUAUGUAUAAUUGAAUUUCGCUUAUUUCAAAAUUAUGGCUCAUGAGAAUUAAGAAGUUCGAUGUGUCUUUCAUCUUCCAAACAUGUUUUAUGGUUUGAAAAGAAUAUAAUAUAAAUUGACAAAAGUUAGCUAUUGAAAGAAUAGAGUAAAAGUGGUGCUCAUUUUACUUAAUCAGAUAUAUGACAUGAUCAAUAUUUAUCAUGUAAUCUGAACAAUUUUGAAAAGGUCAAUAAUUUUAAUUUUGUGUUUGUAUUUGUGAGAAUUGAGAUCUCAAAUUUGAAAAAGAAUUUAGAAAAAUUAAUGUUAAAAAAAAAUGAGUGAAGAUUAACUUUGGGGAUGAUAUAUACAAGUCAUUUGUCAAUAGGAAAUAACUUUUUUGAAAAUAACCAUCAUGGUAAUGUGGGUGUCACAUAGCACUGCUAACCAUGGUUUUGUUUCUAUAAACUAAAAUUUGUCAUUUCAUCAAAGUCAUAUAGCAAUCAACAAGUUCGAACUCAGAUUGAAUUUUAGAAUCAAAUAGAUAUAACUUAGAUUUCCUAUGAAUACUACAAAUUAGGAAUUUGAAAAUAUGGGAAAUAAGACUUUCACAAAAUAUAUUAAAACGUCUAGUAGGAACAAUAAUCCUAAAAAAAUAUGGAAUUAUUUAAGUAAAUUAGAUUAAAAAAAAAAAUCAGCAAUUCAUCAAACAAAUUCAUACUUGAAUGAAAUAUCAUGACCAUUAGAAUUGAUACAUCUAUACCUAUAAAAGAAUAUUAAGGUAGGGAAUUGUAAGCACAAGGUUAAGGAAUUAAUUAGUUUGAGUCCAAUUAGAUGUAAUUAUUAUUUCGAAGUUGUUAAACAAUUUAUUAAAUUAUUAAACAGAUUACAUAGAUUAAAUUAUGAAAAAAAAGAAGAAGAGUAGCAUCGGAAAGUGUGACUACCAAGUCAAUAACCAAUGUUCUUGCACCACUUUGGUAAGUGAACUGUUAUCACUCUGGAUGGGAUUACAUUGAAGCCCUUGUUCACCUCUGAGGACAUUUUUUCCAAAAAAGGUUGUUGCUCACGAAUUACUUGACAGACGUUAAGAUCACUCACAGCUCUCACCGAUCUCACCGGUGUAACGGCUGCUGCUUGCUUCAGAAGUUGUUGCACUUCUUAAGUUGGGUAGUUUGUAAGACUUUGUUAGAUUAGUUAAGACUGUUACACAAUGGAAAAUUCUAUGGCACCGAAGUGGGUACCGCACCUGCAAAAUUCCUGUCGUUAGAUCAAAAGCUUCCAAUCACGACUGAAUGCCUUUGCACAACUUAGCCGGACAGCUCCAUGUGCAAUUGGUGUUUUUUUAACCAUCGUUGCCUCUUCUUGAAUACGCUUUGCUUGACCAACUUUUCAGGUUUCUUUCUUGGUUUUGGUAGGACUGCACUGUUUUUGCCCCUGCUUGCACUCCAUGACCCACUUUUUUCCAAGGAGGUGGUUUCCAAUCAAUUUUUCUCUCCUUGAAUACGCCAUUAGAUCGUGAUAUGCGGACAGCUCUAUAUGCAAAUUGAGUUUUGUCUCCUGUGGAAUGUGGACUACAGCACCGUGAUAACCCACUCUUCACUGCACCAGGCUUCACCUGAGGUUAGCUCUUUUGUCCUUCUGGAAAACUGCACCGCAGCUGUCCCUUCUUGACCGGCUCAACCCACUUUGUUCUUUCUUCAUUCUUCCUACAUUUCUCAAAUUGCAUUAUGACAUGCAAAGUUUUGUUGAAUUGUUUUGAGUAUGCCCUGCUAGAGACAGUUGCAGCAGCUCUGGUCAUAAUCCAUGCUGUCAGUGAUGUGUAGGAAAUAUCAAUUUUUACGGGAGUUAGAAAAGUCUUGCUUCUUCGAUGAUUAUCCAAAGAUAGGUUUGGAACUUAUUUCUUUAGAAAAUGUAAAUCUUCAUGUAUAUAUAUGAAUCUCCAACAAUCCCUACUUUCUUUAAAAUGAAAGUAUUAACUUUAAAUCAAUUACAUAAAUUCCUUAUUCCACUCGCUUUCAAAUGAAAGUAUUCUUAUAGAAUAGAUAUUAACUUUAAAUACUUUAUCAAAUAUUCCACCACUAAAACUCAAUGGCAAAAACAAUGAAGGAUAGAAAAUAAAAAAUAAAAAAUAAAAUUAUUUUAUAUAAAAUGAAAUAAAAAUACCUUUGAACCUCUUCAUGUAUAUAGGUACCGUUUGGAGUUAUUUACGACUGAUUUCUUCAAUGUUGUCUAGAAUAUAUACUAGAGAUAGCUCAAAUACUCACAAUCAUACACAAAGAAAGAGGAGCGAUAUACCAUCUUCUUACUUGCAAAAUGGGGAUUGGUAGUUGAAAAUUUUAUUAUUAUUAAUCUACCAUUUCCAAAGUGAAACCAUCAAAACUUUCUAAAUUUGAAUUUCUUGUUAAUAAAGUUUGAUAGAAGAUAAGCAAAAUAAAAUUAUAAGGUAUAAUAUAAGUACUUUUUAAUAAUAAUAAUAAUAAUAAUAAUAAUAACAUUAUUAUUAUUAUUAUUAUAGUUAUGGAUUUCCUUAAUAUAAUACAUUAGAUGUUCUUUAAGUAAAGGAAUAUUGUUAUUGCUUUUAUAAUAAUAUAUAAGAACAUUAGAAAAAAAUAGUUAAUGACAAAUUUAAUAAUCAUAAUUUAAUAUUUAAAACUACCAUCAACAAUAAUGAGAUUCGACAUCUAUAGAUUUUAGAGGAUUUAUAAUAUAAUCUUGUAAGAUUUACAUGUUUAAUUUACAUGAGCAAAUUACUAAUAAAUUAUUUAGUCCAAUAAAUCGCAAUAGAUGUGAUAUUUUAUUUGAAAAUAACUUUUAAAGUUUAAUACAUUAACUAGAUAAUAUUUGAAAAUAACAUUUAAAUUUUUUUAUAUAAUUAGUGUUGGUUUAAUUUUGUAAAAUAAAUUAACCUUAGUCUUUAAUUAUUUUCAUUAUCAAAGAGUCAAAAAUAAUGUGAAACUAAAAAUUUUAAAAAAAGGUUAAUUAAUACUACAGUUUUUUUUUGUUUUCUUUUUGGACUAAAAUUAUUCAUAUUUGCAACAUGAAAAACCAUAUCCUUGAGUAAAAAAUAUAUAUAUAUAUAUAUAUUACACAAUGUGUAUUGAACCAAACCAAAAAUAUAAAAUAUAAAACUUUGAAUAUACCUCCAUUUUUUUUUAUUUUUUUUUUUAGAAACAGAAAUAAAAAAGCUCUAUUUUUUUUUUAACUGUUUUCUUUUUUCAAAGUCUAAACAAAUAUUUUUUGUUUGUGCUAUAUAUUUGAAAACUAAAAUUUCCAUAAAAUUUUAUCAAAACUUUAAACAAGUAAUCAAUAUAAAAAGAUUAAUUUAAUCACUCAUAUUUCUAGUCAUUAAACUAAACAUUGUCAUCAACAAGUAUUUAACAUUUAUAUAACCUUGCUAAUCAAAAACAUAAAUAUGAUUUUUCUUAAUAUAUAUAUAUAUAUAUAUAUAUAUAUAUAUAUAUAUAUAUAUAUAUAUAUAUAUAUAUAUAUAUAUAUUAAUCAUUAUUUGGUUGCAUAGGAAUUUUAAGAAAUUUAAUUAUUUUACUAAGAAAUUCAUCAUGAAGCUUAAUUUGUAAAGUUACAAAAAAAGUCCAUGAAAUGGAGCUUUUUGUUGGAAGUUGAUAGCGUGGAAAUGAUGUCUCUGCUACUAAUGGGUUUGCAGUCCCUGUUUUUGCCAUGAGCCAUGUGCUCAUGUUUGUAUUGUGGGCUCUGGUUGCUGCUAUUCCUUGUCAGGACAGGGGCCUCCAGAUUCAUUGUUCAGUCCCCCGACGUUCCUCAUGGAGUGCUCCAUUUAUCUUGCUUCAAGAGAGAAUUAUGGAGGAUUCAAAGAAGCGGGAGCGACGGAAUUCUAGCGGGUUGUUGAAGGAGAUCAAUCAGAUGGAAAGGUGUGCGUCUCACAUGACAGACUUAGUGGAUUCUGUUCACUUUCCUCUGACGGAUGAACAUAAGACAGAAGCAGGACAGCAAGAGCAGUGAUGAGGUUUUCCACCUGGUCUGGUUCCUGCUCCGGGUUGAAAGUGCUGUCCCCAUAUUCAUCAGAGGAGGUGCAUGGCAAGGAUUCUGAAGAAGCAAGCCAAGUUACUGUUUGGCUUCUUAUGCCAUCUGAUCAGAUAAGAUGUGUUAUUGGGAAAGGUGGACAGACAAUUCAGAGUAUACGCAGUGAAAGUGGUGUACAAAUUCACAUUCUAAAGGAUGAUCACUUACCUUCUUGUGCAUUGAGUUCCGAUGAGCUUGUUCAGAUUUCUGGAGAACCCUCCCUUGUUAGGAAGGCUCUUUAUCAAAUGGCAUCUCGUCUUCAUGACAAUCCUUCCCGAUCUUGAAAACCUCGUCAACGAGCAGGUGUCUUCACAAACAUACUCCUUGGAUGCAAAUCUUUGCCUUCUCCGCCUCUACCAAUUUGAGCCAGAGCGAAUGAGUACCCAAAUCGUUGCUCAGAUUUUGGUGAAGGCCCUUAUGGCAAUGCCAGCUCCAGAUUUCAGCCUGUCUCUUUUUAAUUCCAGAACGAGUGCAAAUGGAGGAAUAGUUUUAAGACUUCGAUUGUUCUCUCACAUUAUUUGGAGACAGCAAGGUUCCGUCAGUUCUGGGAUGAAGCAGCUAAGAAUUGACACAUAGUUGAAGUUGUUCCAGGUUUUGAGCAAGAAUCCAAGCCUAUGCCAUUCACGUUAUUUCCUUGACUUAUCAAAAGGUUCCUAGGACUGUAUUUGCUGUUAUCAUUGGUGGAGUUCUUGAGAAGGAGGUGAGAACUGCAACACUAAAAGAACCCUCAGGCCAUCAGGAGCCCGCAUGGUGUUUUUCCACUGAAGAUGAGCUACCAUCUAGAGUCCAGAACCUCACCCCUUGCUUUCUGUCAUCACAUAAAUCCUCGUACCCCACUCUUGCAUGUCAUAUAUGGCCACCUUUCGUGGGCCAUUCUUAAAACCUACGUGUCCUACCUCCUAUAUUUUUAUGCAUGCCUCCAAAACUCGGUUUUCAAAAAUCCUGUUUCCAAAUAAUUUUAAUUCUUCAAUUUUUCUCUCUUGGUUUUAAAUAAAUCCAAUUUUAAUAAACCAAUUCCUACCAUUUUCCAUUAGGCAUGCAUCUUUUAUUUUUUUUUUAUUUUUUUUAUUUUUUUUUCUUAAUUUUAAAUAUUUUCUAUUUUUUAAUAAAAUUGGUUGCCACAUUUCUUUCCAACAAACACUUUUCACAAAUUCUCCUUGAUUUUUUUAAUAAUUUUCUUAUUUUCAUUUUUUUUAAUAAGCAUGAAUAAUUCUAUAAUUUCAAGUAAUGAAAUUUAUGAAGUUAACUCAUGCUAAAAUAAAUCGAGCUUUGGUGGGGCCCAACAUAUGGGAUUUUCUCAUUGAUCGAUUGAUUGCUAUGUUUAACUGGCUUGCCUCACUCUAUGGCAUGCAUACAAUCAUCUUGUAUUUGUGUACUAACCUUGUCUCUUAUGAUAGUACUUAGCUUACGAUUAAGGUACACCUCAUACCCGAUUGUGUUUAUUUAUUUAUUUGUUAUCAUGUGUGUCUUGUUUUCACACCCCUGAUUACUGUACGAUAUCAACAAUUAAUCAAUCAAUUGUCACACUUGUUUCACCUAAUUAGUAGAGACCCAUUUUAGGAGCUUAGAAGGGUGGUACGGUUUUUAUCGUAACUUCCCAAUAGGUAACCUGACCUCCGAAUUCAGACUCGAUUUUUCAUAGAUCUGUUUUUCCUUCAGGAGUCACAUUUAGGGUUUUCUUUCUUAUUUUAUUUUUCCUUUUAAAAAUAAAACAAAAAUAAGUGACGACUCUAAGUUAUUUUCUAAAAAAUAAAUCAUUUUUCGAAAUAAAAAGCGAGUCUCACCAUUUAAGUGGGAAACGCAUGCGUGUAGAAAUACGGGGUUCACAAAGGUAUAAUAUACGUACUUUUUAAUAAUAAUAAUAAUAACAACAUUAUUGUUAUUAUUAUUAUAGUUAUGGAUUUCCUUAAUAUAAUACGUUAGAUGCUCUUUAAGUAAAGGAAUAUUGUUAUUGCUUUUAUAAUAAUAUAUAAGAACAUUAGAGAAAAAACAGUUAGUAAUGUAUUUAUUGACAAAUUUAGUAAAUAUAAUUUAACAUUUACAACUACCAUCAAUAAGAAUGAGAUUCGACAUCUAUAGAAUUUAGAGGAUUUAUAACAUAAUCUUGUUAGAUUUAUAUGUUUAAUUUACAGUGAGCAAAUUACUAAUAAAUUAUUUAGUCCAGUAAAUUGCAAUAGAUGUGAUAUUUUAUAUGAAAAUAAUUUUUACGGAUUAAUACAUUAACUAUAUAAUAUUUGAAAAGAACAUUUAAAUUUUUUUAUAUAAUGAGUGUAGGGUUAAUUUUGUAAAAUAAAUUAGCCUUAGUCUUUAAUUAUUUUCAUUAUCAAAGAGUUAAAAAUAAUGUGAAACUGAUAAAAAACUAAACACACACAAAAAAGGUUAAUUAAUACUACAGUUUUUUCUUUUCUUUUUUUCUUUUUGGACUAAAAUUAUCCAUAUUUGCAGCAUGAAAAACCAUAUCCUUGAGUAAAAAAAAAUAAAAAAUUACACAAUGUAUAUUGAACCAAACCAGAAAUAUAAAUAUCCAUAUUUGCAGCAUGAAAAACCAUAUCCUUGAGUAAAAAUAAAAAAAUACUAACAAUGUGUAUUGACUGGCUUCACCUCCUAGGACAUCUUUCCCCGAAAAAAGGUCGUUGCUCACUAAUUACUUAACAGACGUUAAGAUCACUCACAGCUCUCACUGGUCUCACCGGUGUAACGGCUACUGCUUGCUGCUGUACUUCAGAAGCUGUCGCACUUCUAAAGUUAUAUAGGUAGUUUGUUAGACUUUGUUAGAAUAGUUAGACUGUUACACAGUGGAAAAUUCUACGGCACCGAAGUGGGUAGCGCAGCUGCAAAAUUCUUGUCGUUGGAUCAAAAGCCUCUAAUCAAGACUGAAUGCCUUUGCACCACUUAGCUGGACUGCACCAUUCGUAUUGCCUAUUCUUGAAUACACUUUGCUUGACCAACUUUUCAGGUUUCUUUCUCGGUUUUGGCAGGACUGCACUGUUGUUGCCCCUGCUUGCCCUCCAUGACCCACUUUUUUCCAAGGAGGUGGUUUCCCACCAAUUUCUUUCUUCUUGAAUACACCUUUAGAUCGUCAUAUGCUGACAGCUCUUCACUGCACCAGGCUUGACCCGAGGUUAGCUCUUUUGUCCUUUUGGAAAACUGCACCGCACUGUCCCUUCUUGACCGGCUCAACCCACUUCUCCGAAAGAGGUUGAGGGUGUCUUGUCCCUUUAGGGAUCACCACAUAGGGUUUACCCAGCAAUUACUUUGUUCUUUCUUCAUUCUUCCUACAUUUCUCCAAUUCCAUUAUGACAUGCAGAUGCUUGUUGCAUUGUUUUGAGUGUGUCCAGCUGGAGACAGUUGCAGCAGCUCUGGUCAUAAUCCAUGCUUUCAGUCAUGUGUAGGAAAUAUCAAACUUUAUGUUUGGUCAUGCAGAAAAUGACACCUGAAUUAUAAUUUUUAUGGGAGUUUGAAAAGUCUCGCUUCUUUGAUGAUUAUCCAAAGAUUCAAUCAUGAAAUGCGGAAAAUGUAAAUUCAUGUAUAUAGGUUUGAAACUUAUUUCUUUAGAAAAUGUAAAUCUUCAUGUGUAUAUGAAUCUCCUACAUUCCCUAAUUUCAAACCCAUAUCAAUGGUGUGUGUACCCCAUUUAUAUUUAUUACAACCAUCGGUUAUAUAUAUCACAUUCAAAACACCCACAAUCAUAUACAAAGAAUUUUAGCAAAUUUUUGGUUGCAAAAUGGGGAUUGGUAGUUGAAAAUUUUAUUAUUAUUGAUUAUUAUUUCAUUAGAGGGUUGUCAAAUUUCUUGUUAAUAAAGUUUCACAAAAGAACAGAAAAUAAAAUUACAAGGUAUAAUAUAUGUACUUUUUAAUAAUAAUAAUAAUAAUAUUAUUUGUAUUUUGUCUAUCAUUAUAUAUAUAUAUAUAUUGAUAAUUUAUUUAAAGUUAUAAAUUUGUUAAUAUUAUUACAUAGUUAUGGAUUUCUUUAAUAUAAUAUGCUAGAUGCUCUUUUGAGUAAAGGAAUAUUGUUAUUGCUUUUAUAAUAAUAUAUAAGAACAUUAGAAAAAAACAGUUAAUGAUGUAUUUUUUUGGCAAAUUUAAUAAUCAUAAUUUCAUAUUUGAAACUACCAAUAACAUAAUGAGAUUCGACAUCUAUAAAAUUUACAGGAUUUAUAACAUAGUCUAAUUAGAUUUAUAUGUUUAAUUUACAUGAACAAAUUAAAAAUAAAUUAUUUAGUUGAGUAAAUUACAAUAGAUAUGAUAUUUUAUAUCAAAAGAUAAUUUUUACUGAUGAAUACUUUAAAUAUAUAAUAUGGGAAAAGAUCAUUGAAAAGUAUUAAUAAACUGAGGUGGUGUUUGUUUUUUUACUUAAUUCUAAAUAGAACCUUAAUGCUUAAUAGUGUCAAAUAUUAGAUUGUUUGUUUUUGUAGUAUUUUAUUUCUAUUAAGUAUUAAAAAAAUAAAAAUAAAAACAAUAUGUUAUUUUUUCUAUUUAGAAAAAGCUACAUAUUUUAACUUUUUCUAUUUAGUAAAAAGUUUAUAAUAAGUCAUGAAAAAUAGAAAAAUAAACAACCUAAAUUCUAAAACUAAAUUGUUUUCAGCAAAAAGCCAAAAAAAACAAACACCACCUGAGUGUAGGGUUAAUUUUGUAAAAUAAAUUAUCUUUAGUCUUUAAUGACUUUCAUUAUCAAUGAGUUAAAUUAAAUUCAAUACAUUGAACUAUCAUACCAAAUGCUUUUCACUUUGAUUGAUUUAGCAAUUAUUAUAAAGCUUAUAAUUUUUAGAAAAUAAGAAAAUAAAUCUUAAAAAUCAUUCACAUAAGGUAGACAGCUCUAUUUGCAAGUGGAACUUUGUCUACUGUGGCAUGAGGACUACGGCACCAUGAUUGCCCACUCUUCAGUGCACCAGGCUUGACCCGGGUAGCUCUUUUGUCCCUUUUGGAAAACUGCACCGUAACUAUUGCCCCUUCUUGUCCGGCUUAACCCACUUCUCCAAAAGCGGUUGAGGGUGUUCUUGUCACUUUAGGGACCACUACACAGGGGUUACCCAACAAUUACUUUAAUAUGUCUAACGAGAGACAGUUGCAGCAGCUCUAGUCAUAAUCCAUGCAUUCUAUGAGGUGUAGGAAAUACCAAACUUUGUGUUUGCUCAUGCAGAAAAUGACUCUGGAUUUAUAAUUUUUAUGGGAGUUGGAAAAGUCUUUGCUUCUUUGAUCCAUGAUUAUCCAAUGAUUCAAUCAGGACAAGCAGAAAAUGUAAAUCUUCAUGUAUAUAGGUUUGCCAGUUAUUUCUUCAAAAAAUAUAAAUAUUCAUGUAUAUAUGAAUCUCCAACAAGCCCUAAUUUCACCCCUAUAAAUUCGAUAUUUCACUCCUAUAAUUUGUGUCAUGCUUCCAUAUUAUAUUACUCUUCUCCAAUAAUCGUUGAAUCUGCUUUAUUAAUUCUACUCCAAUAUCUCUUAAUUUCGCUUUCAAGGACAAAGUUAUAAAUCUUCUAUUCUAUUAAUUUAUAUCAUGAUCUAAUUGCUUUGUGUCCUUAGUCACAUUGCUUUGUACCCUUGAUCACAUUGCUUUGUAGAGAGGUUUCAUUUCUUCAUGUUUUUGUCCCAAUUGGUUGAUCGUACCAUAGUUCCUUUUGCUUUGCAUCCCCAUUGUUACAAAAUCAAAUAAAUAAGUUAUACUCAACUCUCAAUGGUGUGCACCCAAUUCAUUUGUAUUACAACGUACCAUAUGCUAUAUAUCACAUUCAAAUGGAAGUAUUCUUAUAGAAUUGAUAUUGAUGUUAAACACUUGACCAAAUGUUUCAUUAUUUAGACCAAAGCUCAAUGGCAAAAACAAUGAAGGAUAAAUCAUUAGAUAAGGUAGACUUUAGGAUUUUAAUUGAGCUAAAAUAUUUUUAUUAGAUUAUUAAAAACCGGAUGCAUGCUCAAACCUAGCGCUUAAUUAAGUACUCAAAUUUAGGCUCAAGCGUUUGAGAGCACUCAAGCACGAGAAGCACUCUAGUAUUUGAGCGUUUGAAGUCGAUCUUUCCAAAUUUGAAUUCCCAAUUUUGUUUUAAUUCUUUUCAUGUUUUAAGAAUUGGUUUUUGGAAACUUUAGGUGUCAAUCCACUAGGGUUUCAUCCUUGUAUAAAUAUUAUGUCUAGGAAUUGUUUUCGUUAUUGAUGGAAAUUUGAAAAAAAGAUUAUCAGCCUUUAUGGAUUCUAAAACUCCUAGGUUUUUGUAAUUCUCAUUCUUUCAGUUCGUGAGAGAGAUCUGCAUCCCUUUAGGUGUUGAGAUAAUCCAUUGAUUGCAUGUGUGGUGUUGUGUUACGAAUUUGAAAACUAGUAUAUGUAUUGAAGAAUAAAACUUAAGGAUAACAUGCACCAUAUAAAUUUGUAUAUUUUUCUUUUGAAAGAAGAUUUGUGUUUUGUAGUCUUUAAUCCUAUGGGUUUUAUAUCUGUAUAUUUACAAUGAUAUAGAUAAGGAAUGAUAAAUAUUUGUUCAUAUAUAUAUAUUAGAUUAUUAAGGUAGAGAAUUCCAAGCACAAGGUUAAGGAAUUAAUAAGUUUGAGUCAAAUUAGAUGUAAUUACAUUGAAGUUGUUAAAACGAUUUAUUAAAUUAUUAAACAGAUUACAUUAGAUUGAAUUAUCUAGAAAAAGAGUAGCACGGGAAAAGUGUGACUACCAAGUCAAUAACCAAUGUUUUUGCACCACUUUAAUAAGUGAACUGUACCAUAUGGUUAUCAUUCUGGAUGGGACUACAUUGAAGCCCUUUUUCACCUCCUAGGACAUAUUUUUCCAGAAAAAGUUGUUGCUCACGAAUUACUUGAUAGACGUUAAGAUCACUCACAGCUUCUCACUGGUCUCACUGGUGUAACGGCUGCUGCUUGCUGCUGUACUUCAGAAGUUGUUGCACUUCUAAAGUUAGGUAGUUUGUUAGACUUUGUUAGAUUAGUUAGGCUGUUACACAAUGGAAAAUUCUGUUGUACGGACGUGGGUACGGUACCAGCAAAAUUCCCGUUUUUGGAUCAGAAGCUUCCAAUCAAGACUGAAUGCCUUUGCACCACUUAGCUGGACUGCAUCAUCGUAUUGCCUCUUCUUGAAUACGCUUUGCUUGAUCAACUUGCCCCUGCUUGCCCUCCAUGACCCACUUUUUUCCAAGGAGGUGAUAACCCACUCUUCACUGCACCAUGCUUCACCCGAGGUUAGCUCUUUUGUCCUUUUGGAAAACUGCACCGCAGCUGUCCCUUCUUGACCGGCUCAACCCACGUCUCCAAAAGAGGUUGAGGGUUAGGGAUCACCACACAGGGUUUACCCACCAAUUACUUUGUUCUUUCUUCAUUCUUCCUACAUUUCUCCAAUUGCAUUAUGAAAUGCAAAUGCUUGUUGCAUUGUUUCGAGUGUGUCCAGCUAGAGACAGUUGCAGCAGCUCUGGUCAUAAUCCAUGCUUUCAGUGAUGUGCAGGAAACAUCAAACUUUAUAUUUGGUCAUGCAGAAAAUGACACCUGAAUUAUAAUUUUUAUGGGAGUUAGAAAAGUCUUGCUUCUUUGAUGAUUAUCCAAAGAUUCAAUCAUGAAAUGCAGAAAAUGUAAACUUCAUGUAUAUAGGUUUCGAACUUAUUUCUUUAGAAAAUGUAAAUUUUUAUGUGUAUAUAUGAAUCUCCAACAAUCCCUAAUUUCACACCCAUAUCAAUGGUGUGCGUACCCCAUUCAUAUGUAUUACAAUCAUCUGCUAUAUAUAUCACAUUCAAACAAAAGUAUGCUUAUAGAAUUGAUAUUGAAUUUAAAUACUUGAUAAAAUUAAUAUUCCAUUACUUAAAUCAAAACUCAAUGGCAGAAACAAUGAAGGAUAGAAAUUAAAAAAGAAAUAAAAUUAUUUUACAUAAAACGAAAUAAAAAUACCUUUUGAAGCUCUUCAUGUAGAUAGGUUUGGAGCUUAUUUAUUGCUUCUUCAUUGACAGAUUUCUUCCAUGUUGUCUAGAAUAUAUACCAAAGAUAGCUCGAAACAUCCACAAUCAUAUACAAAGAAAGAGGAGAAAUAUGACAUCUUUUAGCAAAUAUUUACUUGCAAAAUGGGGAUUAGUAGUUGAAAAUUUUAUUAUUAUUGAGCUACCAUUUCCAAGUAAACUCAUCAAAACCUCCUAAUUACAAGGUAGUAGCUGUUGGGGUGUUCUCUUGAAAUAUAAAAUUCCAUAUAGACUCUUGAACACUUAAAUGUAUAGCAAAAAUUUAAAUGGUUUCAGAAAUAUUUUCGGUUUAAAAAAAAAAAACUAACACGCUUACUUUUGGUUUUAUUUUUAAUGGUUCGAUUGCCUUGAUUUUUAAAUCAUAUAAUAAAUUUAUUUUUGAAAAAUGAAAUGUCUUUACCCUAAUAAUUAUUUAUAAAAUUUUCUGAAGGGCAGCUUUUUGAAAAAAUUUCAAGUCCUUCACCAAUCCUCUUUUUCCACAAGUAAUGUUACAUUCUAGAUUUGGCUAUAUUUUUAUCUGCUUCUUCAAUAUAUUUGAUAGAGAAGUUAUAUACAAAUUAUCACACACUCUCUCUAUUUAAAUUGAUUGAAAAAAGUGGACCAAAAAAAGUAUCAUUUGCCUUUCUAAAUUGACAUAACCAAUAGUAUAGCGUCGCUCUAAUGAAAUGAUAAAUCAUUUGUUAUGAUGUGAUAUAGAUAUGAAAUGAUAAAUCUUUUGUUCAAAUAUAAAUUAGGUUGUUUUGUUUGAAUUAACAAUUUUGUUCUAUUCAUCUUGACUUAGCAAUUAUUUACUUGACUUUUCUUACUCUCUAUUGAAGAUUCAAAAUUGUUGUAUCAUCAACCCAAAAUUAAACAAGUAUAGAGAGAUUCAAAAAAGGCUAAUUAGGAUAAAUUAUGAGAUAAAAUUGGCUUUAGGUUUUUAAUUAAGCUAAAAUAUUUUUAAAUAGAUUAUUAAAAACUAGACCAACACUCAAACCUAGUGCUCAAGCACUUUAAGAACACCCAAGCGUUUGAAGCAAAUUUUUCCAAAUUUGAAUUCUUGAUUUUGUUUUAAUGAUAGGUGUCCGUCCACUAAGGUUUCAUCUCUAUAUAAAUAUUGUGCCUAAAAAUCAUUUUGGUUAUUGAUGCGAAUUUCAUAAAAAGAUUAUUAGCCUUUACUACAUCCCAAUAUUCCCAUAUUUUUGUGAGUCUCAUUCUUUGGGUUGGUGAGAGAGAUCUGUAUCCCUUCAAGUGUUAAGGUAGUCCACUUGGUGCAGAUAUGAUCUUGCAUUUUGGACUUAAAAACUAGUAUAUAUAUUAGAAAUUAAAACUUAGGGAGAACAUUUGCCAUGUAAAUUUGUAUACUUUUCUUCUAAUAAUGGGCUUCUGCUCUAUAGUCUCUUACCAUGUGAUUUUUUUUACAUUUAUAUGGUAUUUGGGAGAUUUUAUGGGUGGUUUUUCAUGUAAAAAUUGUUGGUUUCUUUUUCUUUUUUUUCUAAUUAUUAAAGAGGAAUUAAAAAAAAAUUGUAUUAAAAAGAAGAUAAUACGAUUUACCCCGUAGGUGUUUCGUAAUUGAAAUAUACAAACUUUUAAAAUGUCAUACAUUUAACUUAUAAAAUGUGGAGAAGAUUUCUAGUGUAUAAUUAAUAUAGAGAAUUCCAAGCAUAAGGUUAAUGGAUUUAGAUUGAGUGCAAUCAUCUUGAGUUGUAAUUAUAUCAAAGUUGUUAAAGUAAUCCAUUAAAUUAAUUAUUAAAUAGGUCACAAUCUUCUAAACAAGGAGUAACAUAGGAAAGAGAUUGCCAAGUCAAUAACCAAUGCUUUUGAACCACUUAGAUAGUUCCAUGGUUGUCACUCUCGGUGGGACUGCACUUGAAGCCCUUUUCCACUUCCUCACACACUUCUUCCAAGAAGGUUGCUACCCACCAAUUACUCUCCCUUAACCCCUGCUUUGUUGAACCACAUCCUCUCCUUCAACCUUUAUCAACAACCUUUUUUUCUUGUUCUCUCCAAGGAAAGAUGCAUCUCUUUUCACCUUAUGUUUCAGUGUUUGCUUUGGUGCAUUAUUGGGUGGCUUGCUUCACUCCCAUGGUAUUCUCCAUCAAUUUAGUUGAUGACUUUGCUCUUGUUGCCUUGAAAGCCCAUAUCACAUAUGAUUCCCAAAGCAUUUUGGCAACAAAUUGGUCAACCAAAAGCCCCCAUUGCUGUUGGUAUGGUAUUUCUUGCAAUGCUGCUCAACAAAGAGUUUCUGUAAUCAAUCUUUCUAACAUGGGUCUUGAAGGAACUAUUGCACCACAAGUUGGCAACCUCUCCUUUCUUGUUUCUCUUAAUCUUAGUAAUAACUACUUUCAUGCCUCUCUUCCUAAGGAUAUUGGUAAGAUUCUCAUAAUUUUUCUCUAUUUUACAAGUCAAUACUCAUAUUUCCUGCUUCAAUAUAUAACAUCAAUAAGAUUGAGAUUAUCAUAAUUUUUAGCUUUCAACCAUGAUGAGAUAGUUGAGUAAUUGAUAAAUUAUAGUUUAAAAAAUAAUAAUUAAAUAUUUGUUAAAUUGGAUAAUAUGGAAUGAUAAAAGUUUAACUUAUUCUCUUUAUUUUGAUAUAAGAUUCAUUUUAAUUAAAUAAAUCAUUAUAGGAUUUAAAAAUGAGUUGUAUUUUUUUUUCAUUUCUUAAAAAUUAUUUUCUUCUUUCUAUUUUUACUGAAUUCAAGUAAACAUAAUCAUUACAAUUGUAAUAAUUUUUUAUUUUAAAUUUUAGAAUGGGUAAUACCCACAAAUUAGAUUAAAUAAAUAUAACAAUAAUAAAAAGUUUCAACUAACAAAAUGUUUUUCUUUUAAAGUUACAAAAUUAAAUAAUUUAUUUAUGGUAACAUUUUUCAUUUGAUAGAUAAUUUUGAAUAUUGAAAAUUUUGAUCCAAAAAGUUAAAUUAUUGAAAAAGAAAAACAUAAUUUAAGUAAUAUAUUAUAAAUUAAAUGUAAUAAAAUAUUUCAUAGAUAUCAAAUAAUUUCAUAUAUAUAUAUAUAUAACUAAAUUUAAUUUAAUAUAAUAUAUUUAAAGCUACAAUACAAUAUUUAUUUGUAACAAAAAAUAGUGGAUAUUUUUGUUAUUAAUAUUUCUUAUAAAAAAUAAAAAUAAAAUGUCAAUUAGUUAAUUAUAUUCUAUCUAAUACUUGACAUUUGUGUUAAGUGCAUGGUUAAUUUCACAAACUAUUUGAUAAUAUAUUAUAGAGUAAUAAACAUUAUUGUACACAAUUCAAACCGUCAUGUAAGUUGCAAAUUGUAUUCAAUCAAACCAAAAUGCUCUACCUAAAUGCUUGGCAACCAUCAACAUGUGAUUCAUGAUAAGUUUUUCUCAAUAUUAGUGCCUCUUUCAAAUAUUAUCGUGAUAUUUGAUUUCGAGAAAGUACUAAGAAAAAAAAUAAAGAAAAUAAUUUUUUAUAUUUGAUUUUACUAUGAAAAAAAUCAAAUAUAAUUAAUUAAAACUUAUCUAUUUUAAAAUUAUUUAAUCUUUAUAUAAAUGAAUUAAAACAAGUUAAAUAUGUUUAAAGUAGCACGUAAAUAAUCUAUUGACUUUAAAUCUAUUUUUUUCUUUACUUUUAUUUUUACUCUUUCUUUUAUAUAUAUGAGGGAAAGAAAAUAAAAAGGAAACUUAGAAGAAGAAAAAGCAAAGAAAAAAAAAAGAUUUAAAUUGAAUAAAUUAAAUUUUAUAUGUUCCUUCAAAUUCAUUUAAAAUUAAAAAUAGAUUUAAAGUUAAUAAAUUGAUUUUAUAUCUUUCUUCAAAUUCAUUUACUUAUUUUAAUUCUUCUAUAUAAAAAUUUAAUAAUUUAAAAAUGCAUACAUUUUUUAUUAAUUUUAAUUAUUUUUUUUUUCCAAUUUUCUAUAGUAAAACCAUUGGGAGAAGAUAAUUUUCCUUUAAUAUUUUUUUUCUUUCUUUUAUUAUCUUCUACAACCAAACAUAGCCUAUAGGUUCAUGAUAAUCUUUUUUUUUCUUUAAUUUUAUUUUUGCUCUUUCUUUUUUAUAAUUUUUUUUUUGUCUAUUUUGUUUUCCUCGUAUUUUCUUGUAAGCAAGCAAAAUCUUUGACUAUGUUUGGUUCCCAAAAAAAUAAGAGGGAAAGAAAAUAAAAAGGAAACUUAGAAGAAGAAAAAAGUAAAGAAAAAUAAAAAAUAAAAAAAUAAAAAAGAUUUAAAUUUAAUAGAUUAAAUUUUAUAUGUUUCUUCAAAUUCAUUUAAAUUUAAAAAAUAGAUUUAAAGUUAAUAAAUUGAUUUUAUAUGUUUCUUCUAAUUCAUUACUUAUUUUAAUUCCUUGAUAUAAAAAUUUAAUAAUUUUAAAAUGCAUUCAUUUUAAUUAAUUUUAAUUAUAUUUUAUAUUUUUCCUAUUUUCUAUGGUAAAACCAUUGGGAGAAAAUAAUUUUCCUUUAAUAUUUUUUUUUUCUUUCUUUUGUUAUCUUUUAUAACCAAACAUAGUCUAUAUGUUAAUAAUAAUAAUAUUUCAAAUCUUUUUUUAUUUUAGGUAAUGCAAGGAGCUUCAACAGCUGAAUUUAUUCAAUAAUAAACUGGUUGGAAGCAUUCCAGAAGCCAUUUGUAAUUUACCAAAACUUGAAGAGCUAUAUCUUGGCAAUAAUCAGUUAAUUGGUGAAAUUCCAAAGAAGAUGAGUCAUCUUCGUAAUCUGAAGAUAUUGUCAUUUCGAAUGAACAACUUAACAGGUUCCAUACCAGCCACCAUUUUCAACAUAUCUUCUUUACUCAACAUUAGUCUGUCCUACAAUAGCCUCUCUGGGAGUCUUCCCAUGAAUAUAUGCAACACCAAUCCAAAGCUCAAGGAGCUUAAUCUUUCAUCAAAUCAUUUGAGUGGACAGAUCCCUAAUGGUUUAGGCCAAUGUAUAAAACUUCAAGUAAUUUCCUUAUCAUAUAAUGAAUUCACGGGAAGCAUACCAAGAGGAAUUGGUGAAUUGGUGGAGCUUCGGAGAUUGUCUCUCCAGAAUAACAGUUUGACAGGUACACUCUUUCUUUUCUUUUUUAUUUUUCCUUCUUAUUCUUUCACUUUCCCUCAAGCUUUCAAAGAUGUAAGCAUAGCGUUAAUGUUUUUCCAACCCACUCAUUUUAAUUGUGUUGCAGGAGAAAUGCCUCAUUCUCUGUUCAACAUUUCUAGCCUGAAGUUUCUGAAUCUGGAAGUAAAUAACCUAAAAGGUGAAAUCCCCUCUACUUUGUCACAUUGUCGAGAGCUCCAAAAGCUAUCAUUAUCAUUCAAUCAAUUCACUGGACGCAUUCCAGAAGCCAUAGGGAGUUUAUCUAAUCUGGAAGGAUUAUAUCUUGGUUAUAACAAAUUGGCAGGUGGAAUUCCUAAGGAGAUGGGGAAUCUUCGUAAUUUAAAUAUUUUGAGCCUAACUUCUAGUGGACUAAGUGGUCCUAUUCCUACCGAAAUUUUCAAUAUCUCUUCAUUGCAAGAGAUUCAUUUAAGUAAUAAUAGCUUUUCUGGGAGUCUUCCAAUGGAUAUCUGCGAACAUCUUCCUAAUCUCAAAGGGCUUUAUCUUGCUAUCAAUCAGCUCAGUGGUCAACUUCCUGCAACUAUAUCCUUAUGUAGGUAACUUCUGUCACUGUACCUAUUUUACAACAAAUUCACAGGAAGCACACCAAGAGAAAUUGGCAACUUAUCCAAGCUUGAACAGAUUUAUCUUGGGAGAAAUAGCUUCACAGGUACCAUUCCACCUUCAUUUGGUAAUUUAACUGCCUUACAGGAUCUUCAAUUGGGGGAAAACAAUAUUCAAGGUAAUAUCCCCAAGGAGUUGGGGAGUCUCAUCAACUUAAAAUUCUUGAAUCUUGGCCCAAGCAAUCUAACGGGGAUAGUACCAGAAGCUAUUUUUAACAUCUCUAAGCUGCCGUCCCUUUCGCUGGUACUAAAUCACCUUUCAGGCAGUCUCCCAUCAAGUAUUGGCACUUGGCUCCCGGAUCUUGAAGGGCUUUAUAUAGGUGGCAAUCAAUUUAGUGGAAUAAUUCCAUUGUCUAUUUUAAACAUGUCAAAGCUAACAGUCCUAGACAUCAGCGUUAACUUCUUCACUGGAUAUGUGCCAAAGGAUCUAGGUAACUUGAGACGACUCCAAUACCUCUCCCUUUCACGAAACCAGUUGAGUAAUGAACACUCAGACUCUGAGCUUGCCUUUCUUACAUCAUUAACGAAUUGCAACUCUUUGAGAAAUUUGUGGAUCAGUGGUAAUCCUUUAAAAGGCAUUAUUCCAAAUUCAUUAGGGAAUCUCUCCAUUUCUCUUGAAAGUAUUGUCGCGAGUGGCUGCCAACUCAGAGGCACCAUCCCUACAGGGAUUAGUUAUCUAACCAACUUGAUCGAUUUGAGACUUGAUGAUAAUAACUUGACAGGGUUGAUUCCAACAUCAUCUGGACGGCUACAGAAGCUCCAGGUGUUGUAUUUUUCUCAAAACCAAAUACACGGGCCCAUUCCUAGUGGUCUAUGCCAUUUGGCAAACUUGGGAUUCUUGGAUUUGAGUUCCAAUAAACUUUCCGGAACAAUCCCUGGCUGCUUUGGGAAUCUUACUUUACUACGAGGCAUCGAUCUUCACUCCAAUGGACUAGCUUCUGAGGUACCUUCAUCUCUGUGGACCCUUAGAGAUCUCUUGGUUCUUAACUUGUCUUCAAACUUCCUCAACAGCCAAUUGCCUCUAGAAGUUGGAAACAUGAAGUCUUUAGUGGUAUUGGACCUGUCAAAGAACCAAUUUUCAGGAAACAUCCCAAGCACCAUAUCACUUCUUCAAAACCUGGUCCAACUUCACUUAUCCCAUAACAAGCUACAGGGUCAUAUGCCCCCCAAUUUUGGUGAUUUGGUGAGCUUGGAAUGCUUGGAUCUGUCUGGGAACAAUUUAUCUGGUUCUAUUCCCAAGUCAUUAGAGGCUCUGAAAUAUCUCAAAUACCUAAAUGUUUCUGUCAACAAACUACAACGAGAGAUUCCAAACGGAGGACCCUUUGCAAACUUCACUGCUGAAUCUUUCAUCUCCAACCUAGCACUUUGUGGAGCACCUCGGUUUCAAGUCAUGGCAUGUGAGAAAGAUACUAGAAGGCACACAAAAUCACUCCUCUUGAAAUGUAUUGUGCCACUGGCUGUAUCAUUAUCAAUAAUAAUAGUAGUGGUUCUCUUUGUUCUACGGAAGCAAAGACAGACUAAAUCAGAAGCACUGCAGGUUCAAGUUGAUUUGACAUUGCUUCCCAGAAUGCGUCCAAUGAUUUCACAUCAAGAACUCCUUUAUGCAACCAACUAUUUUGAUGAAGAGAAUUUGAUUGGGAAAGGAAGCUUAGGAAUGGUAUAUAAAGGGGUGUUAUCCGAUGGGUUGAUUGUUGCUGUAAAGGUUUUCAAUGUGGAAUUGCAAGGAGCUUUCAAGAGUUUUGAGGUAGAAUAUGAAGUAAUGCAGAAUAUUCGGCAUAGAAAUCUUGCCAAGAUAACCAGUAGUUGCUACAACUUGGACUUCAAAGCCUUGGUGCUUGAGUAUAUGCCUAAUGGGAGCUUAGAGAAGUGGUUGUACUCUCACAACUACUUCUUGGAUUUUGUCCAAUGAUUAAAAAUUAUGAUAGAUGUGGCAUCAGGGCUAGAGUAUCUCCAUCAUGAUUAUUCAAAUCCUGUGGUUCACUGUGACUUGAAGCCUAGCAAUAUCUUGUUAGAUGAUGACAUGGUUGCACACAUUAGUGAUUUUGGCAUUGCAAAACUGUUGAUGGGAAAUGAGUUUAUGAAGCGAACCAAAACCUUAGGCACCAUAGGCUAUAUGGCACCAGGUAAAGUUUCCAACAACUUCAACACAUUCAUAUAUUACAAUGAUAUGAACUUAUGCCAUUUUUUUCUCUCUCAACUAGCUGGUUUUCCAUUUGACCAACAAG
rnacentral:lncRNA from 1 species